GAAAUCUUUACUACUCCGUCUGCCAAAUUGAAUGGUCUAUUCAUUCCAAAACCAAAAAAAAUUAUAAAAAUUCGGUAAAAGCCAAGAAGUUUUAUAUUUUUAUAUUAUAAACCUUCGAUUCUAAAAUAAAAAUUAUUCUACAUUGAAUGGAUAGCUACAGCAAUAAAUUUGGAUCAGCCUUUCUACCCCCCUGCACCUACGUUGAGCAGGUACCUUUAGGUACCCACACAAUACUUAACCCUAUUUUUGAUAUUGAUAAGAGUGCUUAUUAUAAAUGAAUUCUUGCAAUUUUUUGCAAGAAUUCAUUUUUGCAUUUUUAGGUACCAAAAUAAACAAAACCCAUCCUAGUGGAUCUGUGUGGUAAGGAAAAACUGGUAAUCUAUUCCUUAAAAAAAAUAUUGGAGAUUUUGUAAUGCUUACUCUCAAACUUUUUGUUUAUACAGUAGUGAUAUUCUUUGUUUCCCUCUUUAUCUUUGGAUUCUUAUCUAAUGACCCAGGACGUAAUCCUGGGCGCGAGGAGUAAAAAUUCACAUUUUUUUGCAUUUUUUCUUACAAAUUGGAUUUGUUUCUUACAUUUAUCUAUGAGAAAAUCCGGGGGUCAGAAUUCCUUCCAAUUCGAAAGUCCUAAAUGAUACGAGGGAGCGGAAAGAGAGGGAUUCGAACCCUCGGUACAAAAAAAUUGUACAACGGAUUAGCAAUCCGCCGCUUUAGUCCACUCAGCCAUCUCUCCCCGUUCCAAAUCGAACGGUUUCCGUGAUAUGAUAGAAGCAAGAAAUAACGAUUGCAAAAAACCUUCUUUUUUCUUUCAAAAGUCUAUAAAAAUUAUAUUGCCAAUUCCAUUUUAGUUAUAUUCUUUUUUCUUAAUGUUAAUAAAAAAAAGAAGAAAAUUCUUCUUUUUUAUUUUGAAAAAUAGAUAUGGGCCGAGAGGCAAUCAGAUAGAUUUUCUCUUUAGCGGGUAUUUCCAUAUAGGACUUGUUAUAAUAAAAAAAGCAGGUUGCAGGUUAUAGAAAAAAGAAAAAACGCUUUUUUUCGAUUUUUUAUCAAGAAAGCAAAAAGGGUUCUUAUCAAACCCACAAUAAAAUAGGAAACAAGGAUAAAGUAAGUAGACCUGACUCCUUGAAUUAUGCCUCUAUCCGCUAUUCUGAUAUAUAAAUUCGAUAUAGAUGAAAUUGUAUAAACGAAUUUUUUUUAUUUUCUUAGACUUAGACCCUGCAAGAUAAUAAUUUUUCGCUAUUUACGAUUUUAUAUUCUUGUUACUAGAUACUCUAUAGGAAUAAGAAUAAAUCGCAACUCCUUUCCACUACACAUAAAAAUUGAUUUCGAAAGUCUUUUUUUUUUAAGAAUCCUCCAUUUUUGUUCUUCCACCCAUGCAAUAGAGAGCAAAUGGGAAAAGAGGGGUUACUUUUUUUCAUUUUUCCCUUAAAAGAUAGGCUUUGAAAUCGGAGUCAUGGAAUAAUGGUGAAUUCAAAUGUUUAGUUCUUUAGUAUAAGAAGUAUAAGAAAAAAGUAUAAGAAAAAAAUCGAAUCCAAUUUAUGGAUUUACCACGACCUCGGUUGUGACUCCAUAGAUAAAAAUGAAAAAAUUUAUAUCUUCGAGACCAUUGAAAAACGGCAUUGCACGAGAAAGAAAUCGUCCACAGAUAAUCAAACUAUCAUAUGCCUUGGAAGUGAUACGAGGUGCUCGGAAAUGGUUGAAGUAAUUGAAUAGGAGGAUCACUAUGACUAUAGCCCUUGGUAGAAUUCCUAAAGAAGAAAAGGAUCUAUUUGAUACUGUGGACGACUGGUUACGAAGGGACCGUUUCGUUUUUGUAGGAUGGUCCGGCUUAUUGCUCUUUCCUUGUGCUUAUUUCGCUUUAGGAGGGUGGUUUACAGGGACAACUUUUGUAACUUCUUGGUAUACCCAUGGAUUGGCUAGUUCCUAUUUGGAAGGUUGUAAUUUCUUAACCGCAGCAGUUUCUACCCCUGCCAAUAGUUUAGCACACUCUUUGUUGCUACUAUGGGGCCCGGAAGCACAAGGAGAUUUUACUCGUUGGUGUCAAUUAGGUGGCCUAUGGACUUUUGUAGCUCUCCACGGGGCUUUUGCACUAAUAGGUUUCAUGUUACGCCAAUUUGAACUUGCUCGGUCUAUUCAAUUGCGGCCUUAUAAUGCAAUCUCAUUCUCUGGUCCAAUCGCUGUUUUUGUUUCUGUAUUCCUUAUUUAUCCACUGGGGCAAUCCGGUUGGUUCUUUGCGCCGAGUUUUGGCGUAGCAGCGAUAUUUCGAUUCAUCCUUUUCUUCCAAGGAUUUCAUAAUUGGACGUUGAACCCGUUUCAUAUGAUGGGAGUUGCCGGAGUAUUAGGCGCGGCUCUCCUAUGCGCUAUUCAUGGAGCGACCGUAGAAAACACUCUAUUCGAAGACGGUGAUGGUGCAAAUACUUUUCGCGCUUUUAACCCAACUCAAGCUGAAGAAACUUAUUCAAUGGUCACUGCUAAUCGCUUUUGGUCCCAAAUCUUUGGUGUUGCUUUUUCCAACAAACGUUGGUUACAUUUCUUUAUGCUAUUUGUCCCCGUCACCGGUUUAUGGAUGAGUGCUAUUGGCGUAGUUGGCCUGGCUCUGAACUUACGUGCCUAUGACUUUGUUUCCCAGGAAAUCCGUGCAGCGGAAGAUCCUGAAUUUGAGACUUUCUACACCAAAAAUAUUCUUUUAAACGAGGGUAUUCGUGCGUGGAUGGCAGCUCAGGAUCAGCCUCAUGAAAAUCUUAUAUUCCCUGAGGAGGUUCUACCACGUGGAAACGCUCUUUAAUGGAACUUUCGUUUUAGCUGGUCGUGACCAAGAAACCACCGGGUUUGCUUGGUGGGCUGGGAAUGCUAGACUUAUCAAUUUGUCCGGUAAACUACUUGGCGCCCACGUAGCCCAUGCCGGAUUAAUCGUAUUCUGGGCCGGAGCAAUGAACCUAUUUGAAGUGGCCCAUUUCGUGCCAGAAAAGCCCAUGUAUGAACAAGGGUUGAUUUUACUUCCACACUUAGCUACCCUAGGUUGGGGAGUCGGGCCAGGGGGAGAAGUUCUCGAUACUUUUCCGUACUUUGUAUCUGGAGUACUUCACCUAAUUUCCUCCGCAGUCUUAGGCUUCGGUGGCAUUUAUCACGCGCUUCUGGGACCCGAGACUCUUGAGGAAUCUUUUCCAUUCUUUGGUUAUGUAUGGAAAGAUAGAAAUAAAAUGACUACAAUUUUGGGUAUUCAUUUAAUUUUGUUAGGUCUAGGUGCUUUUCUUCUAGUACUCAAGGCUCUUUAUUUUGGCGGUGUAUAUGAUACCUGGGCCCCCGGGGGGGGGGAUGUAAGAAAAAUAACCAACUUGACCCUUAGCCCCGGUGUUAUAUUUGGUUAUUUACUAAAAUCCCCUUUUGGGGGAGAAGGCUGGAUUGUUAGUGUGGAUGAUUUAGAAGAUAUAAUUGGUGGACAUGUAUGGUUGGGUUUCAUUUGUGUAUUUGGCGGAAUUUGGCAUAUCUUAACCAAACCUUUCGCAUGGGCUCGCCGUGCAUUUGUAUGGUCUGGAGAAGCUUACUUGUCUUAUAGUUUAGCUGCUUUAUCUGUCUUUGGUUUUAUCGCUUGUUGUUUUGUCUGGUUCAAUAAUACGGCUUAUCCGAGUGAGUUUUAUGGACCCACCGGCCCAGAAGCUUCUCAAGCUCAAGCAUUUACUUUUCUAGUUAGAGACCAGCGUCUUGGAGCUAAUGUGGGAUCUGCUCAAGGACCCACAGGUUUAGGUAAAUAUCUAAUGCGUUCCCCAACGGGAGAGGUUAUCUUUGGAGGGGAAACUAUGCGUUUUUGGGACCUCCGUGCUCCAUGGUUAGAACCUCUAAGGGGGCCCAACGGUUUGGACUUGAGUAGGUUGAAAAAAGACAUACAACCUUGGCAAGAACGACGUUCAGCGGAAUAUAUGACCCAUGCUCCUUUAGGCUCUUUAAAUUCCGUGGGUGGCGUAGCUACCGAGAUCAAUGCAGUUAAUUAUGUCUCUCCUAGAAGUUGGUUAUCGACUUCUCAUUUUGUUCUAGGAUUCUUCUUUUUUGUGGGCCAUUUGUGGCAUGCAGGAAGAGCCCGAGCUGCUGCAGCAGGUUUUGAAAAGGGAAUCGAUCGUGAUUUAGAACCUGUUCUUUACAUGAACCCUCUUAACUAAGAUUUUCUUAUUUAUACCUGUUCUACUUCUACUGUUUUUUUCUGCUCUGGCUCGGUUAUUUCAUUUAGCCGAGCCAUUCAUUCCUUUUUCUGAAUGAAAGAUAAGGGGACAGAAUAAAGAAAAAAAAAAAAAAAUGAAAGAAACAAACGUAUUCAAUAAGCAAAAGGAGAGAGAGGGAUUCGAACCCUCGAUAGUUCCUAGAACUAUACCGGUUUUCAAGACCGGAGCUAUCAACCACUCAGCCAUCUCUCCACAGCUUAAUCCCUAUUUUACUCCUAGAAAUAGAACACAGCCAUAUAAAAAUAAAAGGAUCUACUAACCUCUAGAAACAUCUCAGAUGCAAAUCCUUUUUCGAUAUAUUUCUGUAUACUGUAUACACGGAUAGAAGAUCCGCUAUACCCGCUUUUGAAAUAAAGACUAAAUCCCCUACCCUAAUCCCCAUAUCCAAAUAAAAGCGGUAAGUAAUAAGUUUUAAUUAUUAAUUAAAGAGAAGAAUCAAUGGAUUCAUGAUUAAACCCCUCCUACUUCUUGUAUUUUUUACAAUUUAGGUUAAGUGAGGGAUCAAAUAUGUAGUCAACUUUAUUUGAUGAUAGCUUGGAGGAUUAGAAAUAUGACUAUUGCUUUCCAAUUAGCUGUUUUUGCAUUAAUUGCGACUUCCUCAGUCUUAGUAAUUAGUGUACCCCUUGUAUUUGCUUCUCCUGAUGGUUGGUCAAAUAAUAAAAACGUUGUUUUUUCCGGUACAUCAUUAUGGAUUGGUCUAGUCUUUCUCGUAGCUAUUCUGAAUUCUCUCAUUUCAUAAAUUUGUUUAGUAUUGAGUAACCCGAUACAAAAUAAAUAAAAAGGACAUUUCUUCGAAAAAAUUCGAAUAGUGAGACGCAUUAAAACGCAAUUUGCGUUCCGAAUUGCUACCUCUUCUCUUUCAGUAUUAUGAAAUUGCAUUGCCAUUAGAAUAUUGAUUGACAGACAAUCAAAAAAAGGAAAACUCUAAUAUAAUAGAAAAUGAAACGGUCGACCCAGACAUAGACGGUCGACCCAAGCGGAUAUACGCUAUAAAAUAUAUUCCGUAGCGAGCGUAGUUCAAUGGUAAAACAUCUCCUUGCCAAGGAGAAGAUACGGGUUCGAUUCCCGCCGCUCGCCCGCUUACUUUAGUCAAGUACUAUGAGAAAAAAUUUAGUCUAGUUGAAUGUUUAACUACUUAGAAUAAAUUAUAUAUUAAUUAGGUGUUAGUCUAGUACCCUAUCCCUUAUUACCCUUACUUUUCACCCCACUCAAAAAAAGGAGGGCUCCGGAGAGGGAAAUAGAACUCUCCAACCAGGGGGGUAUUCACUGAGACAAAGAACUGGCAAACUGCUUUUAAAGGGAAGGGAGGUAGACUGUGCGUUUCUUUCAUUUUUCUUUUCUGCAGGGUAGGGAGAAACCUUGCCUGUUCUUCUUAUGGAGGCAGGCGGCUUCGCAGACUGCUCAAUUUUGCCCUCUAAGGCCAGGAAGUAAUGAAUAAAAAAAUUGGAUUGGAUACCACCCAACCCUGUACCAUAUAUAUAGAAAUGGAAUAGUCCUUUUAUAGAGACUGCUAAGUGCGGAGACGGGAAUCGAACCCGUGACCUCAAGGUUAUGAGCCUCGUGAGCUACCAAACUGCUCUACUCCGCUCUGCAGUACCAGAAAAUGGUGAACGGAAAAGGUUAAAUACGGGCCUCUACUAUGUCUAGACAAAUAGAAUACUCCUUUUAUACAGGUCUAGACAAAUGGAAUACUCCUUUUAUACAUAUACAGAAUGGAGCGGGUAGCGGGAAUCGAACCCGCAUCGUUAGCUUGGAAGGCUAGGGGUUAUAGUCGACGUUGGUUGAUUAUUUAUAACGUCUCUAAUUCAAAACCGAACAUGAAAUUUUCAUUUCAUUCGGCUCCUUUAUGGAUAUUCUCACCACUUAACAUCUAUGUCAGCUUUUCUAUUUGAAUAGAACCAAAGCUCUCCGCUUUCUAGAUGAUCCUUAUAGAGUAAGGAGAUAGAAAUUCGAUCUAAAUCCAUCUAAUCUACUUACUUCGUUCCCUAAUUUCAUUCAAGGGAUCCUUGAGGAAAAGAAUUGGGUUUCCACCGAGCUUAAACAAUAUGCUGAUGGUUCUAGUAAACCAAAACUACCGCUUUUAGCUAUUUGGCUUCCUUUUCCCUUUUUGAAGGUAAAGGAGAUUUAGUUACGAUUGGAAAAAACUUUUUUGUAUCUCCAUCCAUAGAUCCUUUACUCAUAUUUUUAAUAUAUGGAAUACUUAAUCCAAUGUAAAAUUAUGCUUCGCGACUCUGUACUCAUAAUCCUAUUUGUAUUUUGGAUGCAAUUUCAAUUAUACAAAUCACGAGAAUGUAUAUUGUUCCUCAAUACGCUAUUGAGAGGAAAAGGAUGAAAUCCUUUAUAAGAACUAAAGUUUUCAUCGGAAUAGAAAAAAAACUUAAGGAUGCCUUAAGUAUAUCAUUUUAAAUUCAGUUAUUAAUAGAACGAAUCACACUUUUACCACUAAACUAUACCCGCUACAUGUAGAUUAUGAUACAAACGCAACCCUUUGUCAAUGAUACCCAUUCGAGAAGGAGGUGAAUUUCCCCUUAGUGAAUCAAGAAGGUUCAUGGCAGUGAGCCGUUGGUACUUCUACUUCGAUUGCAGGCCUUUACUUUAGGAUUUCGAUAACCCCUAUGGUCUGUAAAAUACACCUCUUCUUACCAUGCCAAUAGCAUCUGAACUGUCCCUAUAAACCCCUUUUUUCCACUCACUCAAUUUCAAUUCUGGUUUAGUAGAUUCUUGUUUUGUUUAAAAGAAUCAAAAAAGUGCAAUCGAACUAGCAACACAUAAAAAAGAGCAUAGAGGAUCAAGACCAUUACGAAAUGUUCCUCCCAAGAAUCAUAUUGGGUAUCUGUUCCGUUCCUUUUCCCGCUAGGAUCAGAAAUCUUAUAUUUUCCAUAGCCAUAUACCAUCGAAUCCUUAGGGUUCCAGAAUCCGCCUAUUUUCCUAGUCUUCGGAAACGAAAAACCCUGAAUUAAGAAGAGUUAGGUAUGUAUAGGGUAUGGUUUAUUAUUUUUUAUUGUGUCAACUUUCUCUUCACGCAUUUUAUUAUAUAAAAAAGGAUCUCUACUUUGUUUUAUGCAAGUUAUAAGAGAUAAUAGCAAAUAUUUUCUUAUUUUUAUUGAUUUUAUCAAUAUUUUGAACCUCACGAUGAAUAAACUUAUAUAGAUAUAUGGAUAUCUACAUAUAUUAUGUACAUUAUGCAGUAGACCCAGAAUGGGAAAUGAAAGUGGCUCAUUUUUGAAUUAAAAAAAAAGCCCUUUUAACUCAGUGGUAGAGUAAUGCCAUGGUAAGGCGUAAGUCAUCGGUUCAAAUCCGAUAAAGGGCUUUUAAAGUUAGUGGUAGAGUAAUGGCAUGGUAAGGCAUAAGUCAUCGGUUCGAAUCUGAUAGAAUACUUUUCUACUAAAUUCAUUUACUUUUUACUUUGUUUUUGAAACUUUCUCUAUUUUUUAUUGAAUUUUAUGACUUAGUGCGAGAUGCAUGCAUUUUUGGUCUGAACACUAAAUGAAGCACGGAAUCUAAAUUGCAAAAAAGAAAUGAAAUUGGACUCUUUUUCAUCUUAGAUCAAUCAAAUGACUACCUAUACUGAACUAAUCUAGAAUCCCUUUUAGUAAUCGAUUCUUAUUCUCUACCUUUUAAAGGAAUUUCCCUAAUAAAGUAGGGGAUGACCCAUGAAUUAAUCUAAGCAUGAAUUAAAAAAAAUCCUAUGAAAACAUAACAGCCAAAGUAGCAAAAAUUCUUUGCUUUGGAUCUUGUUAUACUCUUCGAGUAUAUUGACAAUUCAAAAAAAUUGCUCAUACUAUGAUUAUAGUAUAAUCACGAGCGGUUAUAUAUGGCCCUAUCGUCUAGUGAUGCCCCUAUCGUCUAGUGGUUCAGGACAUCUCUCUUUCAAGGAGGCAGCGGGGAUUCGACUUCCCCUGGGGGUAGGGAGUAUUAUGAAAGGAGAUUAAUCAUAGAUUAUCAAAAACCCUAGAAAAAAUUCUUCCUGGGUCGAUGCCCGAGCGGUUAAUGGGGACGGACUGUAAAUUCGUUGACAAAAUGUCUACGCUGGUUCAAAUCCAGCUCGGCCCAAAAAUCUGGGGCUUCGUGAAUAUGAACUAAAUCUUUUUAUUUUUCUUCCAUAAACAAAUGUCUGAUCUAUAGAAAUAAAAGAGAAAGAAAAAAAGGGGAAAUUCAAUUUCUAAUCCAUAUCUCUCUCAUUCCUUUCUUACAAACAAAAGAGUUUUUAUUAUUGAAAGGUGGAUUACCCUUCAUUUUUAGUGAUAAAAAAUCACGACAUAUUAGUUAUGUCACUCUCACAAUACCCACAUAUAAUAUGUGGGUAUGUAGUAUAUGAUUCGUCUAUUUCUUAGAGUACGACAGACGAAUCGAAUCUUCUUAUUCUUCUAUUUAAGGAUAGGAUAGGUAUGCCAUACACCCCGCGGGGAUUGUAGUUCAAUUGGUCAGAGCACCGCCCUGUCAAGGCGGAAGCUGCGGGUUCGAGCCCCGUCAGUCCCGAACUAGGGUUCAAUGAAUGGAGAAAUUAACCCUUCCAUUUUCCAUGAAAAAAGCGGGGGCAAGAUCAAAUACCCAUGGGGCGCCCUUACUUCACUUUUUUAUUUUGCAUCUCUCAUUAAAGAGGUAGGGGAGGUGUAUAGGAAUUUUUUUCACUACUUCCGAUUCGAUAAAGAAAGACACGCAUAUGAUAUGCAGAUUAGUAGAAUUUAGGAUAUAACUCUACCUUUAUGAUGAUACCAUCCUCACCUCAUCUUAACUUCCUAUUCGACUCUUAUCUUAUGGAAUAGAGUCCCGGUAUUUUACCGGGAUCCAUACAUAAAUCAUAUUCAUUUUCCUUUUUUUAGUUAAGACCUCUUUUCUCCAUCUCACUUCUACUGCUUAUUUGGAUGUCUAUGUGACCUAUAGAAAGUUGGUCAUAUAAUACAUACAUACAUAAUUGUAUGUAUAACUAUUAGAAAAAGGAAGGGAAAUUGGAUAAGAUUAAGAAAGAUCGUGGGUUAUAGAUCUAGAAAAUAAAAAAUAGAAAAGGAUUAAAAAAAGAGGGAAUUCCUAAUCCAAAUCCAAUCAAAAACCCAUUUUGGUCUUAAUCAUUUUGGUCUUAGUAUGGAUAGAGGAUCUUCCUAUGUUAUACUUUUCCACUCUCAACCAUGAAUUGAUUUCAUAGAUCCGAUAUUAAUAAUAUUGAAUUGAUUCAGUAUUAUCAGAAUGCAAGUCUCACCCUUGAAUUUACAGGAUACCCCUUUUUUCCUCUCCAUGGGAUUACAUCCCGAGUUAUUGUGCAAAAAAAAUAAAGAGGUUAUGGAAGUCAAUAUUCUCGCAUUUAUCGCUACUGCACUGUUCAUUUUAGUUCCUACUGCCUUUUUACUUAUUAUUUAUGUAAAAACAGUCAGCCAAAAUAAUUAAUUGGAAUUCCAAUUAAUCAUUGAAGAAAUGAAAAAGGGAUUAAAUAAAAAAAAUCCAAGUCUUAAAUGAAAGGAUCCGGUUGGAAUCUUAAAGUGUGGUAGAAAGAACUACAUAUAGUUUUUUCUACCACACUUUAGAGUCUUUUCUUUCUAUUAUAUUAGCUUUGAAUCUAUAUAGAAUAGAUUAGUGGAUUGAAAUAGUAGUCUAAUUCAAUUUCUUUUUUCAUUGCAUCCACUUAAUUUCAAUCAAGUCAAAAUAAAAAAAAUCGAAGACAAUUCUUGACCAAAGAAUCUAUGGAGGGAGAAAAAAUUAAUAUUAAGAAUAGACUAUAUAUAGUAAAAAAGUAUAUAGUAAAAUAUAGUAAAAAAGAUAUAUAGUAAAAAGGAAAAAACCAGCGAACCUUUCAUGCUUAAACAUGCCGCGAGAUACUUCAAAAGAGCAGCAAAAUUAUGCUAAGAAAAGGAAAGAUUAUAAAAAAAAGGGAAAAUGUAUGAUAUGUCGUGAAUAGCUCCGUGGAAUAAAAUAGAAUUUCCUUAUGCAUAGAACUUUUUUACCCAUCGGUCAUUUCUAGUAGAAAUUAUGAAUUGCUGUAAUGGAUCUUUCUAUUUUCUAUUUUUCUAUAUAGUAGAAUAUAAUGGCUCUUUCUUACAAUACAAGAGUUUCUUACAGGAGUGAAACAAAACCAAAGAAAAAGAAAAAAGAAUAACGUUUGACAAAAUGAUCAAUGCAAAAUGAUCAAUUAAAGAAAAGACUUGAUACAACAAUUCGAUUACUCAAUCAAUUAGUAGUAGUAUCCCUAGAGUCCACUCCUCCCCCACACCACUAGUGAAAGAGAAAAUGUAAAGACUACCAUUAAAGCAGCCCAAGCAAGACUUACUAUAUCCAUCUAAAUUACGUCUCCUAUUUCUAUGAAGGAAUUUUUCUACUAUUGAUCAAUAAUCAUAGCGGAAUCAAGGGUACAGAGUCAAAAAGGGAUUCUGCCCUAAGACUAUGGACAAUCAGUUCCAAGAAUUUACUCCUAACAAAUUAUUAUAGGAAUUCUGGUAGAAUUAGAGAACAUUAAAUAUAAAUACGAUACAUAGCCCUUUCUUUUCCGUAAAAAAGAAUACGGGAAUGAUGUCCUGAAUAUAAGAAGCGGGAAUAGGAAGAUUUUUUAUUCCUUUUGUUACUCCUUUUUUAUAAGUAAAGGACGCCCGAAUAUACCAUAAAAUUAUGGAUAGGAUAGAUAAAUAUUUAUUGGAUACCUACCUUACCUAUGUUUAGUUUUGACUUAAAUCCUACAACCUCGCUUUCUAUCAUUCUAUGAAAAAAUGAAGAGACUUUAUCCACAACUCCUAAAUUUAUUUAGGAUCGGCCUAUUUAAUCUGAUUUUCGCUAGAAUAAGUAGCCCUUACUUUAGUGUAUGUAGGUAACAUAAGAUGUACGAUAAAAAAAUGUAUGAUAAUUAGGAAGUCUUGAUAUUCUUUCGUGGAGUCCCUUCUUCAAUCUUAGAUUGAAAAAAGCGGAAUGCCCUUUAGGGACCUUUCCUUUCUUUGGAUACCAAGAUUUCUGAAAUCUUAGCUUCGUAGUUUUUAAUUCUAAAAUAGGAUCAAUUAAGAACUAAUUCAAAUUCAUAUAAUAAAAGAAUAAGAAAACGCUACCUUAUCCCUAGUGGUAAUGGUUUGGGCCAGUACCGCCAAAACAAACCCUAGUUUGAGGAUAGAACUAUGGAUUCUCAAAAUCCAGUAUCGCCAAGCCUAGUUACUCUCUUGCCCGAACUUAUGCGAAGUAUGAAUUUCUCGAGUUCGAUCAGUACUAUAAGCCUAAGUAUUUUAUCGAUCAGGCGGCACCCAGAUUUGAACUGGGGAUAAAGGAUUUGCAGUCCCCUGCCUUACCACUUGGCCAUGCCGCCAAAAAAUCCGAUCGAAAAUUGAGAAAAGAGCAAGUAUUCACCCACGUUUUCUUACGAAAAUCCCCUUUCUUUUAUUUUGAAUCUAAUUCUACUUACUUUUUUCCAAUCUUUUUCAAAAAAUCUAUUUCUGCUUCUUUUUGAUCCUGUUUCGAUUAUUCUCCUCGAUGGAUUCUAUGUUAAAACAUACAUUGCUAACACUAGAAAACUUUCUGCUUCUUUCUAUUGAGAUGAAAAAGGAGAAAAAGUAGAUUUCUAGGGCUGCAAAAUUCAUAAAAAAUGGGAACCAUUAACUAGAAUUCUCUUUUUUUUAUUUGCAGUAGUAAACGACUCUUAAAUGUGUAUUUUCCCCCCUCUUCCUUUUAAAGGCAUAAUAAAGGAUUCUUUUUUUAUACCUAAUCCGUGUAUAGGUAAACUCCAGGUCCGAACAGCAUUAUUAUCCAAAGAUCCCCCUUAUGUACAUAUCUCUAUGGGGAAUCGUGCUUUAAUUUUUCAAAGCAUUAAAUAUCUUGAAUAAAAAAAAGGAAAUUUGCUCUGAUAUAAUUUGCUCUGAUAUAGAGUAUAAGCUGACUAUCUUGACCCACCCAAGUGAAAUUACGAAAAAAGAAAAGCAGGGAUAUGUGGAGAGGCGGAUAACUAGAUUGGCAUGUACUUAAAAGGGCACUUACUUUAUUUUAGGAUUCUACAAUGAAAUCCUAAAUUUGCUAGCAAUUCUACUAGACCGAAACAAAAGCGGAACCCUCAAAUUCUUUUUUGAAAUUAAACUAAGCGCGCUAUUCUAAAUCGAAGUAAAGUCAACAAACUCUCUAGUGUAUUAUAUUACGGCUUUAUCGCAUUCAUAGAAAGGAGAUAAAAUGAGAAAUCUUUGCCAUUCAAUCUGACUAGAAUAUCAUCAUUCAAUCUGACUAGAAUAUCAUAAAGUAUAAGUUAUAAGUGGCAUAAUUUUUUUAUAAGAAUGUUUUAUCAAUUCAUUUUCAUUCCAUUUGUACCCCUGGCAAAUUAGAACUUUCGUCGAAAUUGUCUCUAUUCAUAUGUAUGAAAUACAUAUAUGAAAUACGUAUGUGGAGUUCCCUAGAAUUUCAUGUGAUUCAGUAAACAGAAUAUAGAUUCCAUGAUUGCUAGAUCGAUCCGUAGGGGUUGAUGAAGAGUGAGCUGAUAAUGGAAUUUUUCUUCGAUAAACAGGAAACUUAAGAUUAAGAUGCUCCGGAAUGGGAAUGAGGGAAUGUCCACAAUACCCGGAUUUAGUCAGAUCCAAUUUGAGGGAUUUUGUAGGUUCAUUAAUCAAGGCUUGGCAGAAGAGCUUGAGAAGUUUCUAACAAUUAAAGAUCCAGAUCACGAAAUUGCAUUUCAAUUAUUUGCGAAAGGAUAUCAAUUGCUAGAACCCUCGAUAAAAGAAAGGGAUGCUGUGUAUGAAUCACUCACCUAUUCUUCCGAAUUAUAUGUAUCUGCGAGAUUAAUUUUUGGUUUCGAUGUGCAAAAGCAAACCAUUUCUAUUGGAAACAUUCCUAUAAUGAAUUCCUUAGGAACCUUUAUAAUAAAUGGAAUAUACCGAAUUGUGAUCAAUCAAAUAUUGCUAAGUCCUGGUAUUUACUACCGCUCGGAAUUAGACCAUAAGGGAAUUUCUAUCUACACCGGGACUAUAAUAUCAGAUUGGGGAGGGAGAUCGGAAUUAGCAAUUGAUAAAAAAGAAAGGAUAUGGGCUCGCGUGAGUAGAAAACAAAAGAUAUCUAUUCUAGUUCUAUCAUCAGCUAUGGGUUCGAAUCUAAGAGAAAUUCUAGAUAAUGUUUCCUACCCUGAAAUUUUCUUGUCUUUCCCGAAUGCUAAGGAGAAGAAGAGGAUUGAGUCAAAAGAAAAAGCUAUUUUAGAGUUUUAUCAACAAUUUGCUUGUGUAGGUGGGGACCUGGUAUUUUCGGAGUCCUUAUGUGAGGAAUUACAAAAGAAAUUUUUUCAACAAAAAUGUGAAUUAGGAAGGAUUGGUCGACGAAAUAUGAAUCGGAGACUGAAUCUUGAUAUACCUCAGAACAAUACAUUCUUGUUACCACGAGAUGUAUUGGCCGCUACGGAUCAGUUGAUUGGAAUGAAAUUUGGAACGGGUAUACUUGACGAUGACGAUAUGAAUCACUUGAAAAAUAAACGUAUUCGUUCGGUUGCAGAUCUGUUACAAGAUCAAUUCGGACUGGCUCUUGGUCGUUUACAACAUGCGGUUCAAAAAACUAUCCGUCGAGUAUUCAUACGUCAAUCGAAACCGACUCCCCAUACUUUAGUAACUCCAACUUCAACUUCGAUUUUAUUAAUAACUACUUAUGAGACCUUUUUUGGCGCAUACCCCUUAUCUCAAGUUUUUGAUCAAACGAAUCCAUUGACACAAACUGUUCAUGGGCGAAAAGUGAGUUGUUUAGGUCCUGGAGGGUUGACUGGGAGAACUGCAAGUUUUCGGAGCCGAGAUAUUCAUCCGAGUCACUAUGGGCGUAUUUGUCCAAUUGACACGUCCGAAGGAAUCAAUGUUGGACUUACUGGAUCCUUAGCAAUUCAUGCGAAAAUUGAUCACUUGUGGGGAUCUGUAGAGAGUCCGUUUUAUGAAAUAUCUGCUGAGAAAGCAAAAGAAAAAAAAGAGAGACAGGUGGUUUAUCUAUCACCAAAUAGAGAUGAAUAUUAUAUGAUAGCAGCAGGAAAUUCUUUAUCCUUGAAUCAAGGUAUUCAGGAAGAGCAGGUUGUUCCAGCUAGAUAUCGUCAAGAAUUUCUGACUAUUGUAUGGGAACAGAUUCAUGUUAGAAGUAUUUUUCCUUUCCAAUAUUUUUCUAUUGGGGGCUCUCUCAUUCCUUUUAUUGAGCACAAUGAUGCGAAUCGGGCUUUAAUGAGUUCUAAUAUGCAGCGCCAAGCAGUUCCGCUUUCUCGGUCCGAGAAGUGCAUUGUUGGAACUGGAUUGGAACGCCAAACAGCUCUAGAUUCGAGGGUUUCCGUUAUAGCCGAACGCGAGGGAAAGAUCAUUUCUACUGAUAGUCAUAGGAUCCUUUUAUCAAGUAGUGGGAAGACCAUAAGUAUUCCUUUAGUAAACCACCGGCGCUCUAACAAAAAUACUUGCAUGCACCAAAAACCGCGGGUGCCGCGGGGUAAAUCCAUUAAAAAAGGACAAAUUUUAGCAGAGGGAGCUGCCACAGUUGGGGGGGAACUUGCUUUAGGAAAAAACGUAUUAGUCGCUUAUAUGCCAUGGGAAGGUUACAAUUUUGAAGACGCGGUACUAAUUAGCGAACGUUUGGUAUAUGAAGAUAUUUAUACCUCUUUUCACAUCCGUAAAUAUGAAAUUCAGACGGAUACGACAAGUCAAGGCUCUGCUGAAAAAAUAACUAAAGAAAUACCACAUCUAGAAGAACAUUUACUCCGCAAUUUGGACAGAAAUGGAGUUGUUAGGUUGGGAUCCUGGGUAGAAACUGGCGAUAUUUUAGUAGGUAAACUAACGCCUCAGAUAGCGAGCGAAUCGUCGUAUAUCGCGGAAGCUGGAUUAUUACGGGCUAUAUUUGGCCUUGAGGUAUCCACUUCAAAAGAAACUUCUCUCAAAUUACCUAUAGGUGGAAGAGGGCGCGUUAUCGAUGUGAAAUGGAUCCAGAGGGACCCCCUCGACAUAAUGGUUCGUGUAUAUAUUUUACAGAAACGUGAAAUCAAAGUUGGGGAUAAAGUAGCCGGAAGACAUGGGAAUAAGGGGAUCAUUUCCAAAAUUUUGACUAGACAAGAUAUGCCCUAUUUGCAAGAUGGAACACCUGUUGAUGUGGUCUUCAAUCCCUUAGGAGUACCCUCCCGAAUGAAUGUGGGACAAAUAUUUGAAAGCUCGCUCGGAUUAGCCGGGGAUCUGCUAAAGAAACAUUAUAGAAUAGCACCCUUUGAUGAGAGAUAUGAGCAAGAGGCUUCAAGAAAACUUGUGUUUUCAGAAUUAUAUGAAGCCAGUAAGGAAACAAAAAAUCCAUGGGUAUUUGAACCCGAGUACCCGGGAAAAAGCAGAAUAUUUGAUGGAAGAACAGGAGACCCCUUCGAACAACCUGUUCUAAUAGGGAAGUCCUAUAUCUUAAAAUUAAUUCAUCAAGUUGAUGAGAAAAUUCAUGGGCGUUCUACUGGGCCCUACUCACUUGUUACACAACAACCCGUUAGAGGAAGAGCCAAGCAAGGGGGACAACGAGUAGGAGAAAUGGAAGUUUGGGCUUUAGAAGGAUUUGGUGUUGCUCAUAUUUUACAAGAGAUACUUACUUAUAAAUCUGAUCAUCUUAUAGCUCGCCAAGAAAUACUUAAUGCUACGAUCUGGGGAAAAAGAAUAGCUAAUCACGAGGAUCCUCCAGAAUCUUUUCGAGUGCUCGUUCGAGAACUACGAUCUUUGGCUCUAGAACUUAAUCAUUUCCUUGUAUCGGAGAAGAACUUCCAAGUUAAUAGGGAGGAAAUUUGAUCGGAAUAAAUAUUAAUUAUUUUCUUUAUUUUAUGAUUGACCAAUAUAAACAUCAACAACUUCAAAUUGGACUCGUCUCCCCUCAACAAAUAAAGGCUUGGGCUAACAAAAACCUACCUAAUGGAGAAGUCAUUGGCCAAGUCACAAGGCCCUCUACUUUUCAUUAUAAAACCGAUAAACCAGAAAAAGAUGGAUUGUUUUGCGAAAGAAUCUUUGGACCCAUUAAAAGCGGAAUUUGCGCUUGUGGAAAUUCUCGAGCGAGCGGGGCUGAAAACGAAGAUGAAAGAUUUUGCCAAAAAUGCGGGGUAGAAUUUGCGGAUUCUCGGAUACGAAGAUAUCAAAUGGGAUACAUCAAACUCGCAUGUCCGGUGACUCAUGUAUGGUAUUUGAAAGGUCUUCCUAGUUAUAUCGCGAAUCUUUUAGAUAAACCUCUGAAGAAGUUGGAGGGCUUAGUAUAUGGAGAUUUCUCUUUUGCUAGGCCCAGCACUAAAAAACCUACUUUCUUACGAUUACGAGGUUUAUUCGAAGAGGAAAUUGCAUCCUGUAACCACAGCAUUUCUCCCUUUUUUUCUACCCCGAGCUUUACAACAUUUCGAAAUCGGGAAAUUGCGACAGGAGCAGGUGCUAUUAGAGAACAAUUAGCAGAUUUGGAUUUGCAAAUUAUUAUAGAGAAUUCGUUGGUCGAAUGGAAGGAAUUAGAAGACGAGGGCUAUAGUGGAGAUGAAUGGGAAGAUAGAAAAAGACGAAUAAGAAAAGUUUUUUUGAUUAGACGCAUGCAAUUGGCGAAACAUUUUAUUCAAACAAAUGUAGAACCUGAAUGGAUGGUUUUGUGCUUAUUACCGGUUCUUCCUCCCGAAUUGAGGCCCAUUGUUUAUAGGUCUGGGGAUAAAGUAGUGACUUCGGACAUUAAUGAACUUUAUAAGAGAGUUAUCCGCCGGAACAACAACCUUGCCUAUCUAUUAAAAAGAAGUGAAUUAGCGCCAGCAGAUUUAGUAAUGUGCCAGGAAAAAUUGGUACAAGAAGCCGUGGAUACACUUCUUGAUAGUGGGUCCCGCGGGCAACCGACGAGGGAUGGUCACAAUAAAGUAUACAAAUCGCUUUCAGAUGUAAUUGAAGGUAAAGAGGGAAGGUUUCGCGAGACUCUCCUUGGGAAACGAGUCGAUUACUCGGGUCGUUCCGUCAUUGUUGUGGGUCCUUCGCUUUCAUUACAUCAAUGUGGAUUACCCCUAGAGAUAGCAAUAAAGCUUUUUCAGCUAUUUGUAAUUCGCGAUUUAAUCACGAAACGCGCUACUUCUAAUGUCAGGAUUGCUAAAAGGAAAAUUUGGGAAAAGGAACCGAUUGUAUGGGAAAUACUUCAAGAAGUUAUGCGGGGACAUCCUGUACUGUUAAAUAGAGCACCUACCCUGCAUAGAUUAGGCAUACAGGCCUUCCAACCCACUUUAGUAGAGGGGCGUACUAUUUCUUUACACCCAUUAGUGUGUAAGGGUUUCAAUGCGGACUUUGAUGGGGAUCAAAUGGCUGUUCAUCUACCUUUAUCCUUGGAAGCUCAGGCGGAAGCUCGUUUACUUAUGUUUUCGCAUAUGAAUCUCUUAUCUCCCGCUAUUGGGGAUCCUAUUUGCGUACCAACCCAAGACAUGCUUAUCGGGCUUUAUGUAUUAACGAUUGGAAACCCUCGAGGUAUUUGUGCAAAUAGAUAUAAUAGUUGCGGAAACUAUCCAAAUCAAAAAGUAAAUUACAAUAAUAAUAAUUCUACGUAUACGAGAGAUAAAGAACCCAUUUUUUAUAGUUCUUAUGAUGCACUAGGAGCUUAUAGACAGAAACUAAUCAGUUUAGACAGUCCCUUGUGGCUACGAUGGAAACUAGAUCAACGCGCCAUUGGAUCAAGAGAAGUUCCGAUUGAAGUUCAAUAUGAAUCUUUGGGGACUUAUCAUGAGAUUUAUGCUCACUAUCUAAUAGUGGGAAAUAGAAAAAAGGAAAUCUGUUCUAUAUACAUUCGAACUACUCUUGGUCAUAUUUCUUUUUAUAGAGAAAUAGAGGAAGCCGUACAAGGAUUUAGUCAGGCCUAUUCAUACACUAUCUAAACAAGGAAGUUAGAUUCGGGGAUGCCCCGCCCUUUUCGGGGGGCAUUCCGAUUUCCUUAGUAUCAUCAUUUUAUUUUUGCCGCGCGAAUCCAGAUUGAGAUUGAGAAAAUGAAGCUAAUUAAAUUUUCGAAUCACUGACUCACGCCCAUUGUCGAAUCCUACUCAGCAAUUCUCGAAUCCUACUCAGCCGAAAAAGGGGGUACUUAUGUAUGGCGGAACGAGCCAAUCUGGUCUUUCAUAAUAAAGAAAUAGACGGAACUGGUAUGAAACGACUUAUUAGCAGAUUAAUAGAUCAUUUCGGAAUGGGAUAUACAUCCCAUAUACUGGAUCAACUAAAGACUCUGGGCUUCCAUCAAGCCACUACUACAUCGAUUUCGUUAGGAAUCGAGGAUCUUUUAACAAUACCCUCUAAGGGAUGGUUAGUCCAAGACGCGGAACAACAGAGUUUUCUUUUGGAGAAACACUAUUAUUAUGGGGCUGUACACGCGGUAGAAAAAUUACGCCAAUCCGUUGAGAUAUGGUAUGCGACAAGUGAAUAUUUGAAACAAGAAAUGAAUUCGAAUUUUCGGAUAACAGAUCCUUCUAAUCCAGUCUAUCUAAUGUCUUUUUCAGGAGCCAGAGGAAAUGCAUCUCAGGUACACCAAUUAGUAGGUAUGAGAGGAUUAAUGGCGGACCCUCAAGGACAAAUGAUUGAUUUACCUAUUCAAAGCAAUUUACGCGAGGGACUUUCUUUGACCGAAUAUAUAAUUUCCUGCUACGGAGCCCGCAAAGGGGUUGUGGAUACUGCUGUACGAACAGCAGAUGCAGGAUAUCUUACACGUAGACUUGUUGAAGUAGUUCAACAUAUUAUUGUGCGUAGAAGAGAUUGUGGUACUAUACGAGGUAUUUCUGUGAGUCCUCAAAAUGGGAUGACGGAAAAACUUUUUGUCCAAACACUCAUUGGUCGUGUAUUAGCAGACGAUAUAUAUAUCGGUUCACGAUGCAUGGCCGCUCGAAAUCAAGACAUUGGAGUUGGAUUAGUCAAUCUAUUCAUAACUGCUUUUCGAGCACAACCAUUUCGAGCACAACCAAUAUAUAUUAGAACCCCCUUUACUUGCCGGAGCACUUCUUGGAUCUGUCAAUUAUGUUAUGGUCGGAGUCCUACUCAUACUGAUCUGGUCGAAUUGGGAGAAGCCGUAGGUAUUAUUGCGGGUCAAUCAAUUGGGGAGCCUGGGACUCAACUAACAUUAAGAACUUUUCAUACGGGCGGAGUAUUCACAGGGGGUACUGCCGACCUUGUACGAUCCCCUUCGAAUGGAAAAAUCCAAUUCAAUGAGAAUUUGGUUCACCCCACACGUACCCGUCAUGGACAGCCUGCUUUUCUAUGUUAUAUAGACUUGCAUGUUACUAUUCAGAGUCAGGAUAUUCUAUAUAGUGUGAAUAUUCCCUCAAAAAGCUUGAUUCUAGUGCAAAAUGAUCAAUAUGUAAAAUCCGAACAAGUAAUUGCGGAGAUUCGUGCCGGAACGUCCACUUUACAUUUUAAAGAAAGGGUACAAAAACAUAUUUAUUCCGAAUCAGACGGAGAAAUGCACUGGAGUACUGAUGUUUAUCAUGCGCCCGAAUAUCAAUAUGGUAAUCCUCGUCGAUUACCAAAAACAAGUCAUUUAUGGAUAUUGUCAGUAAGUAUGUGCAGAUCCAGUAUAGGGUCUUUUUCACUCCACAAGGAUCAAGAUCAAAUGAAUACUUAUGGUAAAAAAGAUAGGGAAAUUCUUGAUUCUUCAACGUCGAAUCGAAUAAUGUCCAACGGCCUUUGGAAUUUUAUCUAUCCUUCUAUUUUUCAAGAUAGUUCGGAUUUGUUGGCGAAAAAGCGAAGAAAUAGGCUCGCCAUUCCAUUACAAUAUCAUCAAGAACAAGAGAAAGAAUUCAUAUCCUGUUUGGGGAUUUCGAUUGAAAUACCUUUUAUGGGUGUUUUACGUAGAAAUACUAUUUUUGCUUAUUUUGAUGAUCCACAAUACAGAAAAGAUAAAAAGGGUUCAGGAAUUGUUAAAUUUAGAUAUAGGACCCUAGAAGACGAAUAUAGGAUUCGAGAGGAAUACUCAGAAGACAAAUAUGAGACCCUAGAAGACGAAUAUGAAACCCUAUAUAAAAAUGAGAUCCUACAGGACGAAUACGAAUAUGAAACCCUAGAAGACGCAUAUGGGAGCCCAGAGAACGAAUAUGGGAAUCCAGAGAACGAAUAUAGGACUUUAGAGAAAGAUUCAGAAGAUGAAUAUAGGAGCCCAGAGAGCAAAUAUAGGACCCGAGAGGACAAAUAUGGAACUCUAGAGGAAGACUCAGAAGACGAAUACGAGAGCCUGGGUGAAAGCUCAGAGGACAAAUAUGGGAGGACUUUAGAGGAAGACUCAGAAGAAGACUCAGAAGACGAAUAUGAGAGCCCAGAGGAGGAUUCCAUCUUAAAAAAGGAGGAUUUGAUUGAGCAUCAAGGAACAAAAGAAUUUAGUAUAAAAUACCAAAAAGAAGUAGAUCGGUUUUUUUUCAUUCUUCAAGAACUGCAUAUCUUGCCGAGAUCUUCAUCCCUAAAGGUAUGCGACAAUAGUAUUAUUGGGGUGGAUACACAACUCACAAAAAAUACAAGAAGUCGACUAGGUGGACUGGUCCGAGUGAAGAGAAAAAAAAGCCAUACGGAACUCAAAAUAUUUUCCGGAGAUAUUCAUUUUCCUGAAGAGGCGGAUAAGAUAUUAGGUGGCUGUUUGAUACCACCAGAAAGACAAAAAAAAGAUUCUAAGGAAUCAAAAAAAAGGCAAAAUUGGGUCUAUGUUCAACGGAAAAAAAUUAUCAAGAGCAAGGAAAAGUAUUUUGUUUCGGUUCGCCCUGCAGUCGCAUAUGAAAUCGACGGAGGGAUAAAUUUAGCAACACUUUUCCCACAGGAUCUCUUGCAAGAAGAAGAUAAUCUCCAACUUCGACUUGUCAAUUUUAUUUCUCAUGAAAAUAGCAAGUUAACUCAAAGAAUUUAUCAAACAACUAGUCAAUUUGUUAGAACUUGCUUAGUAGUGAAUUGGGAACAAGAAGAAAAAGAGGAGGCUGGUGCUUCCCUUGUCGGGGUAAGAGCGAAUGAUCUUAUUCGCCAUUUCCUAAGAAUUGAGUUAGUCAAGUCCACUAUUUCAUAUACACGAAAAAGGUAUGAUAGGACAAGUGUAGGGCCGAUCCCCCCUAAUGGGUUAGAUCGCACCAAUAAAAAUUCCUUUUAUUCCAAGGCAAAGAUUGAAUCACUUAGCCAAUAUCAAGAAACUAUUGGCACCUUGUUGAAUCGAAAUAAAGACUACCAAUCUUUGAUGAUUUUGUCAGCAUCCAACUGUUUUCGAAUUGGUUUAUUCAAGAAUUCAAAACAUCCCAAUGCAAUAAAAGAAUCGAAUCCUAAAAUUCCUAUUCGAGAUAUUUUCGGGCCCCUAGGGGCUAUUGUACCUAGUAUAUUGAAUUUUCCUUCAUCUUACUAUUUACUAACGCAUAAUCAGAGCCGGUUAAAAAAAUAUUUGUUGCUUGACAAUUUACAACAAACCUUCCAAGUACUUCAAGGACUUAAAUAUUCUUUAAUAGAUGAAAAUCAAAGGAUUUCUAAUUUCGAUAGUAAUCUCCUGUUGGAUACAUUCUUUUUGAAUUAUCACUUUGCCCAUCAUGAUUCUUGGGAGAACACAUUGGCAAUAAUUCACCUUGGACAAUUUAUUUGUGAAAAUGUAUGUUUAUUUAAAUCGCACAUAAAAAAAUCAGGUCAAAUUUUCAUUGUUAAUAUGGAUUCCUUUAUUAUAAGAGAAGCUAAACCUUAUUUGGCCACUACAGGGGCAACUGUUAAUGGUCAUUAUGGAGAAAUCCUUUACAAGGGAGAUAGGUUAGUUACGUUUAUAUAUGAAAAAUCGAGAUCGAGUGACAUAACGCAAGGUCUUCCAAAAGUGGAACAAAUCUUUGAAGCGCGUUCAAUCGAUUCAUUAUCUCCGAAUCUGGAAAGGAGAAUUGAGGAUUGGAAUGAGCGUAUACCAAGAAUUCUUGGUGUCCCUUGGGGAUUCUUGAUUGGAGCUGAGCUAACCAUAGCCCAAAGUCGUAUCUCUUUGGUUAAUAAAAUCCAAAAGGUUUAUCGAUCCCAAGGGGUACAGAUCCAUAAUAGACAUAUAGAGAUUAUUAUACGCCAAGUAACAUCAAAAGUGCGGGUUUCCGAAGAUGGAAUGUCUAAUGUUUUUUCACUUGGGGAGUUAAUUGGACUAUUACGAGCGGAACGAGCAGGACGAGCUUUGGAUGAAUCGAUCUAUUAUCGAGCAAUUUUAUUGGGAAUAACAAGAGCUUCCCUUAAUACCCAAAGUUUCAUAUCUGAAGCAAGUUUUCAAGAAACUGCUCGGGUUUUAGCAAAAGCUGCCCUACGAGGUCGUAUUGAUUGGUUGAAAGGCCUAAAAGAAAACGUAGUUCUGGGGGGAAUUAUACCUGUUGGUACUGGAUUCCAAAAAUUUGUGCAUCGUUCCCCACAAGACAAGAAUCUUUAUUUCGAAAUUAAAAAAAAAAAUAUAUUCGCUUCGGAAAUGAGAGAUUUUUUCUUUCUCCAUACAGAAUUAGUUUCUUCUGAUUCUGACGUAACAAACAAUUUCGAUGAGACAUCAGAACCCCCAUUUACCCCAUUUAUAACCAUUUAAGGAUACAUAAAGCAGAUUUUUUUUACUUUACCUUUACUAUACUUUUUUACUUUACUAUACUUUUGAACUUAGACUUAGAACACUAACAGGUAAAAUGUGAGAUUUUUAUUAAGUAAAAGAAGUCAGUUAAUUCAUUAAGGUUAUGUUUAUAUCAUGUAUGAAUAGCCAACUCUCAGUAGAAGGUUCCCUCGGAACAAUUAUUAUAUAUUUCAAGUUAUUUCGGAUCUUUCUUAAUCUUCAAAAAGAUAUUCCCUAAUGGAAUGGUAGGAUGAAAAAAAGAAAAAAUAAAAAGGAAGUGUGGAAAAAAUGACAAGAAGAUAUUGGAACAUCAAUUUGAAAGAAAUGAUAGAAGCGGGAGUUCAUUUUGGUCAUGGUAUUAAGAAAUGGAAUCCUAAAAUGGCCCCUUACAUUUCGGCAAAGCGUAAAGGUACUCAUAUUACAAAUCUCGCUAGAACGGCUCGUUUUUUAUCAGAAGCUUGUGAUUUAGUUUUUGAUGCAGCAAGUCAGGGAAAAAGUUUCUUAAUUGUUGGUACCAAAAAAAGAGCAGCGGAUUUAGUAGCAUCAGCUGCAAUAAGGGCUCGUUGUCAUUAUGUUAAUAAAAAGUGGUUCAGUGGUAUGUUAACGAAUUGGUCAAUUACGAAAACUAGACUUUCUCAAUUUAGAGACUUAAGAGCAGAAGAAAAGAUGGGAAAAUUCCACCAUCUCCCAAAAAGAGAUGUGGCAAUCUUGAAAAGAAAAUUAUCUACCUUGCAAAGAUAUCUCGGCGGGAUCCAAUAUAUGACGAGGUUGCCAGACAUUGUGAUCGUCCUUGAUCAGCAAAAAGAGUAUAUAGCUCUUCGGGAAUGUGCCAUUUUGGGGAUUCCUACUAUUUCUUUAGUUGAUACAAAUUGUGACCCAGAUCUCGCGAAUAUAUCGAUUCCAGCCAACGAUGACACUAUGACUUCAAUUCGAUUGAUUCUUAACAAAUUAGUAUUUGCUAUUUGUGAGGGCCGUUCUCUCUAUAUAAGAAACCUUUAAUUAAGAAGAAUAGUGAAUUCUUGGGCAACUCCAUAGAUUUCUGGAAUCACUUACUAUUCUUUUUUGUUUUGCAUAGAUAAAAGAAGGGGAAUAUUGAUAUAUAUUAGAGGGUAUUGAUAUAUAUUAUGAUCUGAUGUGCUUUCUUAGUACCCUAAAUAUAACAUUAAUACUUCAAGUUGCUGAGUUGAGAAAGAGAUGGUUGAAUCAAAACAAUACCUUUUUUGAAGUUCAAUUUUUAUCAGAGGACAAUAUGAAUAUUAUACCUUGUUCCAUUAAAACACUCAAGGGGUUAUACGAUAUAUCAGGUGUAGAAGUAGGCCAACACUUCUAUUGGCAAAUAGGAGGUUUCCAAAUUCAUGCCCAAGUACUCAUCACUUCUUGGGUCGUAAUUACUAUCUUGCUAGGUUCAGUUCUCAUAGCUGUUCGGAAUCCACAAACCAUCCCGACCGACGGUCAGAAUUUCUUUGAAUAUAUUCUUGAGUUUAUUCGAGACUUGAGCAAAACUCAGAUUGGAGAGGAAUAUGGUCCCUGGGUUCCUUUUAUUGGAACUAUGUUCCUUUUUAUUUUUGUUUCGAAUUGGUCGGGUGCUCUUUUACCUUGGAAAAUUAUAGAGUUACCCCACGGGGAAUUAGCAGCGCCCACGAAUGAUAUAAAUACUACUGUUGCUUUAGCUUUACUCACGUCAGCGGCAUAUUUUUAUGCGGGUCUUAGCAAAAAAGGAUUGAGCUAUUUCGAGAAAUAUAUUAAACCAACCCCAAUCCUUUUACCAAUCAACAUCCUGGAAGAUUUCACAAAACCAUUAUCGCUUAGCUUUCGACUUUUCGGGAAUAUAUUGGCAGAUGAAUUAGUCGUUGUUGUUCUUGUUUCUUUAGUCCCCUUAGUAGUCCCUAUACCGGUCAUGUUUCUUGGAUUAUUUACAAGCGGUAUUCAAGCUCUUAUUUUUGCAACAUUAGCCGCAGCUUAUAUAGGUGAAUCUAUGGAGGGUCAUCAUUGAAUUGACUAGUUUUGGAAAUAGUCUUUUUUUCCGCUUAGCUCAAUUCAUGCAUGGUUCCAGAUAAUCCGCUUGGUUGCAAAAAAUUGUUAGAAAUGCGUAUGAAUAUACAACUUAGAGUUGUAGGACUUAGAAUCCGAUUCAAUAGAAAAUGAGAAAAUACGCAAACCAAAUAGAAGAAACAGAUGUAUAUAGGAUAUUAUAUAUUCCUAAGUUAGAUUGAUUAUCUAAUCCGAUCUAUCGAAUUCCCUCUAUGUAGUUCGGACAAUUCACAUUAUCUUUUCAAUUUGUACUUUUUAGUUACUUCUCCCCAAUAGAGCUUAGAAGUAAGAAUUUCUUGGUUGAUUGUAUCCUUAACCAUUUCUUUUUUUUGACACGAGGAACUCACCAUGAAUCCAUUAAUUGCUGCUGCUUCUGUUAUUGCUGCUGGAUUGGCCGUAGGGCUUGCUUCUAUUGGGCCUGGGGUUGGUCAAGGUACUGCUGCCGGACAAGCUGUAGAAGGUAUUGCGAGACAGCCAGAAGCAGAAGGUAAAAUACGAGGUACUUUAUUGCUUAGUCUAGCUUUUAUGGAAGCUUUAACAAUUUAUGGACUAGUUGUGGCACUAGCGCUUUUAUUUGCGAACCCUUUUGUUUAAUCGAAAAAAUAAAAUAAGUUCUUUCGAUUAGAUACUUUGUUUCUUUUUUUAGUCAAUUGUUAUUUGUUUCUGGAAUUCCAAUUAUAUCAAUACCUUAUUUAAUUUACUCCUAUUUAUUAUUCCGGGAAUUUUUUAUUUAUCGAGACAGACAAUAUCCCACCCAGGAAGGGCUGAGUUGAGUAUGAUUAAUUUAUAGUAUAUGCUCGCCUUCUUCCUUCCCAUCCUUAGUUUAGGAAAGUGGAAAGUCCUUUUCCUUUUAUUUAAGGAAGUCUUUCACAGGUCAAACGAGACCUAAGACUUAAUCUAAAAUAAAUUACUAGAUUGAAUCUAUUUGCAUUAAAAAAACCGAUCAAAAAAGGGCGAGCGAAGCAAGUGAUCAAAAACUUUGUUCGUCCUAUCUAUAAGAGGAGAGCAUAUGAAAAAUGUAACCCAUUCUUUCGUUUUUUUAGCUCACUGGCCAUCCGCUGGCAGUUUCGGGCUUAAUACCGAUAUUUUAGCAACAAAUCUAAUAAAUCUAACUGUAGUGGUUGGUGUUUUGAUUUUUUUUGGAAAGGGAGUGUGUGCGAGUUGUCUAUUUCAAGAAUAGGUUGGAUCUAUCCGACUGCACUUUAGAAUAUUUCGUAGUAUUUUUCGGAUAAAUAAGGGUGCGCAAUCUCGACGAAUUACUUCUGAAUAAAUUCAGAAAUCAUAUGGAAGAACCAUAGCAUUUCGCGACUCGUUGGUAAAUCAACUUUGAUUCUCUAUAAACCAAUUAAUGUGAGACUAUUAACACGGUUAAAGCUAAACUGCUUGAAGUCCAGGCAAAAAGGGGUACUCUUUCUACACCUAUAUUAGUAUUAGUACCGAAAUGCUUUAAACGGGAAAUAGCUAAUGUAGAAUUUAUCUGAUAUAGAACACUCAUAUCGAUAAAAUGGUUUGAACUAUUUACUAGAAAAAAGGAGGCACCCUGCCCUUUUUUAUCGAAUGCCGAAUCGACAACCUAUGUAUAAAAUAAAAAAAGAGAAAUUUUUUGGAUUUGAAGAAAAAAAAGACUUCGAUUCAUUUUCUAUUUAUUUCGUUAGUUUUUCUUAAUGAAAUUGAAAUUCUUAAGUAAAGUGCAAAUACAAAUAAAGAAACAACUUUGCUGACCAUGAUAGAUUUUUAUCUAGGCGGAAGAGUCCUCUUAAUAUUUAUCUAAUCUUAUAUAGGUUUCAGUAUAUUGAAAUAGAAAGAUAAAAUAGAAGAGAGAGGAUAGGCUCAUUACUUAAAAAAAAGAUAUGGAAAUAGCCAUAGCAAAAAAAGAAAAAAGGAGCGUGAGAGCCAAAUGAAUCGAAAGAUUCAUGUUUGGUUCGGGAAGAGAUCAUAAAAGUUGUAAACUUAAUAGCAAGAUAAUCUACUUUCAUUAAAAGAUUUAUUAGAUAAUCGAAAACAGAGGAUCUUGAGUACUAUUCGAAAUUCGGAAGAAUUGCGUAGAGGGACCUUUGAGCAGCUCGAAAAAGCUCGGAUUCGAUUACAGAAAGUCGAACUAGAAGCGGAUGAGUAUCGAAUGAAUGGAUACUCUGAGAUAGAACGAGAAAAAGAAAAUUUGAUUAAUGCUACUUCUAUUAGUUUGGAACAAUUAGAAAAGUCUAAAAACGAAACCCUUUAUUUUGAAAAACAAAGGGCAAUGAAUCAGGUCCGACAACGGGUUUUCCAGCAGGCCGUACAAGGAGCUCUAGGAACUCUGAAUAGUUGUUUGAAUACCGAGUUACAUUUCCGUACGAUUCGUGCUAAUAUUGGCAUUCUCGGGUCCAUGGAAUGGAAGAGAUAAUGAAAUUAAUAAGGCCUUGAGCUUCUACUUUCGUUUAGAAUUUAGGCAUUAUUUUUCCCCUUAGCUUCCGAAAAAAAAGAGUCAAGAAACACUAAUGGCAACUCUUCGAGUCGACGAAAUUCAUAAAAUUCUCCGUGAACGUAUUGAACAAUAUAAUAGGAAAAUAGGGAUUGAGAAUAUAGGUCGCGUAGUUCAAGUGGGGGAUGGGAUUGCUCGUAUUAUAGGUCUUGGUCAAAUAAUGUCAGGUGAAUUAGUCGAAUUUGCAGAAGGCACUAGGGGUAUUGCUCUUAAUUUGGAAUCCAAAAAUGUUGGGAUUGUAUUAAUGGGCGAUGGGUUGAUGAUACAAGAGGGAAGUUUUGUAAAAGCAACAGGAAGAAUUGCUCAGAUACCCGUGAGCGAGGCUUACUUGGGUCGUGUUAUAAAUGCUCUGGCUAAACCUAUAGAUGGGAGAGGUGAAAUUAUAGCUUCGGAAUCUCGCUUAAUUGAAUCCCCUGCUCCAAGUAUAAUUUCCAGGCGUUCCGUAUAUGAACCCCUUCAAACAGGGCUUAUUGCUAUCGAUUCGAUGAUCCCUAUAGGGCGCGGUCAGCGAGAGUUAAUUAUUGGGGACAGACAGACUGGCAAAACAGCAGUAGCCACAGAUACAAUUCUCAAUCAAAAAGGGCAAGAUGUAAUAUGUGUUUAUGUAGCUAUUGGUCAAAGAGCAUCCUCCGUGGCUCAAGUAGUAACUACUUUCCAUGAGGAGGGAGCCAUGGAAUACACUAUUGUAGUUGCUGAAAUGGCGGAUUCACCUGCUACAUUACAAUACCUCGCUCCUUAUACAGGAGCCGCCCUGGCUGAGUAUUUUAUGUACCGCGAACGGCAUACUUUAAUAAUUUAUGAUGAUCUCUCCAAACAGGCACAAGCUUAUCGCCAAAUGUCCCUUUUAUUAAGAAGACCUCCCGGCCGUGAAGCUUAUCCAGGGGAUGUUUUUUAUUUGCAUUCACGCCUUUUAGAAAGAGCCGCUAAAUUAAAUUCUCUUUUAGGCGAAGGAAGUAUGACCGCUUUACCAAUAGUUGAGACUCAAUCUGGAGACGUUUCUGCCUAUAUUCCUACUAAUGUAAUCUCCAUUACAGAUGGACAAAUAUUCUUAUCCGCGGAUCUAUUCAAUGCCGGAAUUCGACCUGCUAUUAAUGUGGGUAUUUCUGUUUCCAGAGUAGGAUCCGCGGCUCAAAUUAAAGCCAUGAAACAAGUAGCUGGCAAAUCAAAAUUGGAACUAGCUCAAUUCGCAGAGUUACAAGCCUUUGCACAAUUCGCCUCUGCUCUCGAUAAAACAAGUCAGAAUCAAUUGGCAAGGGGGCGACGAUUAAGGGAAUUGCUUAAACAAUCCCAGGCAAACCCUCUCCCAGUGGAAGAGCAGAUAGCUACUAUUUAUACCGGAACGAGAGGAUAUCUUGAUUCGUUAGAAAUUGAACAGGUAAAUAAAUUUCUAGGUGAGUUACGUAAAAACCUAAAAGAUACUAAACCUCAAUUCAAAGAAAUUAUAUCUUCUAGCAAGACAUUCACCGAGCAAGCGGAAAUCCUUUUGAAGGAAGCUAUUCAGGAACAGCUCGAACGGUUUUCCCUUCAGGAACAAACAUAAAUUUAGCAUGUCUACUCUUGUUAGUAGAAGAGGAAUUGUUGAGAAAAAUUUUUGAUUUAAAUCAUCAAAAAAAAUUUUCUUAGUUUUUAAUAUAGUUAUUUAAAGAAUAGAUAGAAAUAAGAUUGCGUCCAAUAGGAUUUGAACCUAUACCAAAGGUUUAGAAGACCUCUGUCCUAUCCAUUAGACAAUGGACGCUUUUCAUUAGUAUUUUUUAGACAAUGGACGCUUUUCAUUAGUAUUUUCUUGUUCCGAGAAAAAACUGUUAGAACGAAACUCUUUUAGGAAAUAAAAAAACCCAUAUACAAAUGCUAGUGGGAAUCGAACCCACAACCCCAAGGUUAUGAGACUUGUGAGCUACCAGACUCCUCUAUCCUCUUAAACUAAAGAGGGGAGGGUAGAACUAGUGGAUAAAAGAGUGUUGGAUACGCCCCUCUACCAUAUCCAUACAAAUAGAAUAGUCCAUUUAUACAGAAUGGUAAAGAGGGCUGUUCUACGAUCAUCAAUUCAAGAAAUCCAUACAAAUACGAAAGGGUAUUUUAUCCUUACCAACUGGAUCUUGUUGCACCCGGUAACAAACAUUCAUAAACCAUUUCUCGAAGUACGUGCCCGGAUAGCCCAAAAUCUCGAUAGUUAGCUCUAGGUCUUCCAGUCAAAAAACAACGUCGAUGAAGGCGUGUAGGUGCACUAUUACGUGGUAGGGAUUGCAAUUUUUCUCGCAUUUUCGUUUUUUCACUCAAACUCAAGGGGGAAACUUUGCUUCUUAUCUUUUUUUUUAAAGAUUGGCGAAUCAAAUGAUAUUUUUGUUCUAAUUUCUGCCGCUUCUUUUCCCUCUGAAUCAAACUUUUUUUUGCCAUAAUGUCCUGUUACUAUUAUUCACAAAUAUACAGUUCUAAUCCUAGAUGGAAAAAUAAAUAGAAAAAAAUCUAAGAAGGCGAUCUCCCUCUCUAUCAAGAGUAAUGAACUAGGUGCUAAUACAGUACAAAAAAAACUAACUAAAUUAACCAAACUUACCUGAUGUUGAGGCAAUCAAGAAAGCUGCAUAAGUGAAUAUAUAACCCACAGAAAAGUGGGCUAAUCCAACCAAUCUUGCUUGCACAAUGGAAAGAGCCACGGGCUUAUCUCUCCAGCGAAUUAAAUUAGCCAAAGGUGUGCGUUCAUGAGCCCAUGCUAAAGUCUCAAUUAAUUCCUGCCAAUAUCCACGCCAGGAAAUUAAGAACAUAAAUCCAGUAGCCCAAACAAGAUGUCCAAAUAAGAACAUCCACGCCCAUACCGAUAAACUAUUCAUCCCAAAAGGAUUAUAUCCAUUUAUAAGUUGUGAAGAAUUUAACCAUAGGUAAUCUCUUAACCAUCCCAUCAAAUAAGUGGAGGAUUCAUUAAAUUGUGAAACGUUGCCCUGCCAUAAUGUGAUAUGUUUCCAAUGCCAAUAAAAAGUAACCCAUCCAAUAGUAUUUAACAUCCAGAAAACUGCCAAAUAAAACGCGUCCCAAGCAGAAAUAUCACAAGUACCGCCGCGUCCUGGACCGUCACAAGGAAAACUAUACCCAAAAUCCUUUUUAUCCGGCAUUAAUUUGGAACCGCGUGCAUCUAAAGCACCCUUUACUAAAAUCAAUGUAGUUGUAUGCAAACCUAGAGCAAUAGCAUGAUGAACCAAGAAAUCCCCAGGUCCUAUUGUUAAGAAAAGCGAAUUACUAUUCUCAUUAACAGCAUUCAACCAUCCGGGCAACCAUAGGCUUCGACCUGCAUUGAAAGCGGGGCCAUUCGUUGAAGAUAAGAGUAUAUCGAACCCAUAUGUCGUCUUGCCAUGAGCAGAUUGUAUCCAUUGGGCAAAUAUAGGUUCGAUCAAGAUUUGCUUUUCUGGAGUACCAAAAGCAAGCAUGACGUCGUUAUGAACAUAAAGGCCCAAGGUAUGGAAUCCUAGAAAGAGGCUAGCCCAACUUAAAUGAGAUAUGAUAGCUUCUUUAUGGUCUAACAUUCUUGCCAAUACAUUAUCCUCAUUCUGUUCUGGAUUGUAAUCCCUAAUGAAAAAGAUAGCUCCAUGAGCAAAAGCCCCUGUCAUGAUGAACCCUGCAAUAUAUUGGUGAUGAGUAUAUAAAGCAGCUUGAGUAGUAAAGUCUUGCGCUAUGAAUGCAUAAGCAGGUAAAGAGUACAUAUGUUGAGCUACUAAGGAAGUAAUAACCCCUAAAGAAGCUAGAGCAAGACCUAAUUGAAAAUGAAUCGAAUUAUUGAUUGUGUCGUAAAGGCCCUUAUGCCCCCGCCCUAAUCGACCCCCCGGAGGAGUAUGCGCUUCUAAAAGAUCUUUGAUACUGUGUCCAAUUCCGAAGUUAGUUCGAUACAUGUGACCGGCAAUGAGAAAAAUAAAUGCAAUAGCUAAAUGAUGGUGCGCAAUAUCGGUCAGCCACAAACUUUGUGUUUGUGGAUGGAAUCCACCAAGAAGAGUUAGAAUGGCAGUUCCCGCUCCUUGAGUGGUACCAAAUAAAUGGUUACUCGAAUCAGGGUUUUGGGCAUAAAGAUUCCACUGGCCCGUCAAAAGGGGCCCCAACCCCUGGGGAUAGGGUAAUACAUCUAAGAAAUUAUUCCAUCGAACGUACUCCCCCCUGGAUGCGGGAAUAGCAACAUGAAUUAAAUGUCCUGUCCAAGCUAAAGAACUUACCCCGAAAAGUCCUGACAAAUGAUGAUUGAGACGAGAUUCCGCGUUUUUGAACCACGAAAGACUUGGUUUCCAUUUGGGUUGUAGAUGUAACCAACCCGCUAUUAAAGAUAGCGUAGAAAGAAAUAAUAGAAAAAGAGCUCCAGUAUAAAGAUCUUCAUUCGUGCGUAAUCCUAUUGUAUACCACCACUGAUAAACCCCAGAAUAGGCGAUAUUCACUGGACCGGCAGCACCUCCUCGAGUAAAGGCUUCCACAGCGGGUUGACCAAAAUGAGGAUCCCAAAUCGCAUGAGCAAUAGGUCUUACGUGUAAAGGAUCCUGUAUCCAUGAUUCAAAAUUUCCUUGCCAAGCUACAUGAAACAGAUUUCCGGACGUCCAUAGAAAGAUUAUUGCUAACUGCCCAAAGUGAGAAGCAAAAAUGUUCUGAUAAAGACGUUCCUCAGUAAUAUCAUCAUGACUUUCGAAAUCAUGUGCGGUAGCAAUACCAAACCAAAUACGACGAGUAGUGGGGUCCUGAGCUAAGCCUUGGCUAAACCUGGGAAAUCUUAAUUCCAUAAUGCCUUUCAAAUCCUCCUAGCCACUAUCCUACUGCAAUAAUUCUCGCUAAGAAGAAUGCCCAUGUUGUGGCAAUUCCACCUAGAAGGUAAUGGGUUACUCCUACAGCACGUCCUUGUAUAAUGCUCAAGGCUCUAGGCUGAGUAGCAGGAGCAACUUUUAAUUUGUUAUGAGCCCAAACGAUAGAUUCAAUAAGUUCUUGCCAAUAACCACGGCCGCUGAAUAAAAACAUUAAACUGAAGGCCCAGACAAAAUGAGCACCUAAGAAAAAAAGACCAUAUGCAGAUAAUGAAGAACCAUAAGACUGAAUUACUUGCGAUGCCUGUGCCCACAAGAAAUCUCGAAGCCACCCAUUAAUCGUAAUGGAACUCUGUGCAAAGUUCCCCCCUGUGAUAUGAGUUACCACCCCUUGAUCACUUAUAGUACCCCAAACAUCCGAUUGCAUUUUCCAACUGAAAUGGAAAAUGACUACCGAAAUUGCAUUGUACAUCCAGAAUAAACCUAAGAAAACAUGAUCCCAAGCAGAUACUUGACAUGUUCCGCCUCGCCCAGGCCCAUCGCAAGGAAAGCGAAAACCGAGAUUUGCUUUAUCGGGUAUCAAACGGGAACUGCGAGCAAAUAAAACACCUUUCAAAAGUAUUAAUACAGUCACAUGGAUGGUAAAUGCGUGAAUGUGAUGGACUAAAAAAUCUGCAGUUCCUAAUGGAAUAGGUAACAAAGCCACUUUGCCGCCUACUGCUACUAACUCGCCACCUCCCCACGUUAAACUGGUACUUGUUGUUGCACCAGGAGCUGUUACACCAGGCGCGUUAGCAUGGAUAUUUUGUACCCAUUGAGCAAAGAUAGGUUGUAAUUGUAUGGCAGUAUCCGAAAACAUAUCUUGCGGACGUCCUAAAGCACUCAUGGUAUCAUUAUGAAUGUACAAACCAAAACUGUGAAAACCUAGAAAUAUACAUACCCAGUUAAGGUGGGAUAUGAUUGCAUCACGGUGUCUAAGGACGCGAUCUAAUAGAUCAUUGUAUCGAGUAGUUGGAUCAUAGUCUCUUACCAUAAAAAUUGCUGCAUGUGCAGCAGCACCGACUAUUAGAAAUCCGCCAAUCCACAUGUGGUGUGUGAACAAGGAAAGUUGUGUACCAUAGUCAGUAGCUAGGUAUGGAUAGGGGGGCAUAGAGUACAUAUGAUGAGCUACAACAAUGGUUGUCGAGCCUAGCAUAGCUAGGUUAAGAGCUAAUUGAGCAUGCCAUGAUGUUGUUAAGAUUUCAUAGAGACCCUUAUGGCCUUGUCCUGUAAAUGGGCCUUUGUGAGCUUCCAAAAUAUCUUUAAGUCCAUGGCCAAUACCCCAGUUGGUCCUAUACAUAUGACCUGCAAUUAGGAAAAGAAUAGCAAUAGCUAAGUGAUGGUGCGCAAUAUCGGUCAGCCAUAGACCACCGGUUACUGGAUCUAGUCCUCCGCGAAAAGUAAGAAAUUCUGCGUAUUUGGACCAAUUUAAGGUGAAAAAAGGGGUUGCUCCUUCGGCAAAACUAGGAUAAAGUUGAGCCAAAAGGUCGCGAUUCAAGAUAAAUUCAUGAGGAAGUGGUAUCUCUUUAGGAUCAACCCCGGCGUCAAGAAAUUGGUUAAUUGGUAAAGAUACAUGAAUUUGGUGUCCCGCCCAAGAAAGAGACCCAAGUCCUAAUAAUCCCGCUAAGUGGUGAUUCAACAUGGAUUCUACAUCUUGGAACCAGGCCAAUUUUGGAGCGGCUUUGUGAUAAUGGAACCAACCAGCAAAAAGCAUUAACGAUGCAAAAAUCAAUGCACCAAUUGCAGUACAAUAGAGUUGUAAUUCACUAGUUAUUCCAGAGGCUCGCCAAAUCUGAAAAAACCCAGAGGUUAUUUGGAUUCCUCGGAAACCCCCGCCUACAUCACCAUUCAAUAUUUCUUGCCCUACUAUUGGCCAAACUACCUGAGCACUGGGUCCAAUGUGAGUAGGAUCACUUAGCCAUGCUUCAUAAUUGGAAAAACGGGCACCAUGGAAGUACAUGCCACUCAACCAAAGAAAGAUAAUGGAGAGUUGCCCGAAAUGAGCACUAAAGACUUUUCGAGAGAUCUCCUCCAAAUCACCCGUAUGACUAUCGAAAUCGUGAGCAUCAGCAUGUAGGUUCCAGAUCCAAGUGGUAGUAUCAGGGCCCUUAGCUAGUGUUUUUGAGAAAUGGCCGGGUCUGGCCCAUUCCUCAAAAGAUGUUUUUACAGGAUCCCUAUCCACAAUAAUUUUUACUUCUGGUUCCGGCGAACGAAUAAUCAUUAAGUCCUCCUCUUUCCGGACAAGACAUAUAAAGAGACCUGCCAACUGUCUUUUUAGUGAAUCUUUGAAAGAUAGAUUUUGAAAGAUAGAUAUUAUGAUUAGUUCUUUUCUUUACUAUCUACCGUCCUUCUAUUUUUUUAUAGUUAUUCACUGGAGCAAUUAUAUAUUGAAGUCAAUCCUAGGCAAGUGUUCGGAUCUAUUAUGACAUAAGGAUUAGGUGCCUAACGGACAUUAUAUAUCUUGAAAAAAAAAUAUAUAUAUAUAUGUAUAUAUUUCCCGAUGUAAGAAAAAAAUCUUUUUAAAAUUUAAUAAACUGGUGUAUUUUUUUUUGAGAGUAUAAGCUCCUAUCUACAUCUACUUUCCUUGAGCGUAAUAUAGGAUUUUUUAUUUGAUUCUAAAUUCCAAGAUAACUCAUUAGAAUUAUUUAAGAAUUAAUAAGAUGGUCUUGAUAUAUUAGCAGUAUUUAGAUUGCCCCUCUUUUUAUUCGCUUUAUUACUUCUAUUCUAGAUCCUAUCCCUCUGGUUUAUCCUUAUAAAAUCUCAUAUAAAAUAGAAGGUAGAAGAAAGACGAACGGGAUAUAAUGAAAUUCUUGAUUCGAUCUUACGACCUAAUUUAUAUGAAAAAGGAACGUGGUCUUAUUCAAAUUCAAAGCGCUUCGUAAUCUUCAACCAGUUCUGUGCUUCAAUAUAAUUUCCCGGAGUAAGCGCUAUAGCUUGUUUCCAAUACUCAGCAGCUUGAUCAAACCAAGCUUCUGCAAUUUCUGAAUCACCCUGUAGAAUGGCCUGUUCUCCUCGGUCGGAAUAGGCAGUUCCUUCCCCUAGAACCGUACUUGAGAGUUUCCUACCUCAUACGGCUCAGAAAUUGCUAUCUUAAUUUCCCCUAUCUUAACUGAAUUCGAUUUUUGAAAAAUCGAUCCAAUUUGUUUUUGGGUUAAGCAGAAGAAGUUAAUUACCUAAGUUUCAAACCCUAAUUUUUAUAACUAAUCAGUUUGAUCUUUUUUCCCACCUUCAGAAGAAUGAAGCAUAGAUAGAUCGAGAGCUUUCGUUCGAAUUUUCUGAAAAGUAACUAUCCCGGUUUCAUAUAUGAAAUCCCUAUAGAAUCCUUGAAAAAGACUUUUUCCCAUAAGAUAAGAAAGAAAAAAGAACUUACUAUCUUUGGGAUCUGAUACUACACCGCUGCUUAAUCCCUUAGUGGAUCGGCUCUAUUACAUAAGCAGAUUCCUAAACUUUGCCCCAUAUCAUGGGAUAAGUAAGCAGUUUUUUUUAGUUGUAUCGACCAAGUCGCUCACUAAUUGAUCUUUACGGUGCUUUCUCUAUCAAUUUGAGAACUUUAUCCAUAGAGUAGUAGUAUAGGCCAUACUUUCUUCCUUUUUUGAUUCUCGUGAAGUGUCUUUCCUUCCUACAGCUGAUAGGGAAAAAUCGUUGUUUUUACGACCCCUAUGUAGAAAGACCCUUUUGUCUAGUAUUUACUAGAAAAUUUGAUUCUUUCUUUUUUUCUUUCUAUAGUGGAGAUAGUCGCACGUAAUGACAGAUCACGGCCAUAUUAUUAAAAGCUUGCGGUAAGAAGGGGUUUCGCUCUAGUGCCCGGAAAUAAUAUUCCAAAGCCUUUGUAUGCUCUCCAUUGCUUGUGUGUAUAAGGCCUAUGUUAUAGAGUAUAUAACUUCGAUCGUAGGGAUCGAUUUCUAGUCGCGUAGCUUCAUAAUAAUUUUGCAAAGCUUCCGCAUAAUUUCCUUCGGAUUGAGCCAACAUCCGUUACGGUCGUUCAUUCUAUUCAAAAAAUCUCCGUUCCAAAACCGUACAUGAGGUUUUCAUCUCAUACGGCUCCUCCCUUCUGUACAUAGUACUAAGCGAAAUAAUCUAUAGAAUCAAAUUAGUCCCGUCUCAUUAUGGACCGAAAGGGGCUGGUAUUUUUCCAAGAAAUCUCUAGCCAACCUUCCCGCAAGAGGUUUUUCCUAACACCAAUGAAUUCUAUGAAUUCUAUUAAUGCUAGAGGAAAAUCAUAGCUCCAAGAAUUUCUUUGUUCUCAACGCCUUCUAUUUAGAGGAAUUAGCCACUUCAACGAUCUUUGAUGGUUAUAGGGGUAUCCAAAGUACAAACCUGAUGGUUGUUUAUUAUCCCAACCAUUCUUCCCAGCCCUGAUAUCGAUCAGGAAAGGGUUAAUUUAUAACAAAGUUUUUCUCUUGUUGAUUCCUAUUUUUAGGUGUAGUGCUUUUCUCCCCUAUGUGCUGCCUAUUGGUACUAAUAGAGUAGGAUUGGCCUGUAAUCCAUAACCUAUCCUGUUAGGUGUAACCUUUCGCUCAAUACUUAAAUCUACAAUUGAAGCAUCUGAGGCCGCAUCAAUCGAGGAUACACGAUAGAAGGAAUUGUUAAUUAACCUCACCUUCCCAAAGCGUGGGUUUGCUUUACUAAUUUUGUUCUCUCUAUGCGAACCCCCUCUCCUUAUCAGAAGACUGAGGUGUAGGUAGGGCUAAAAAAAACAAAAAAAAAGAGUCAAAUCGCACCAUCUCUAUAAUAAGUAAAUGCCCUUUUUUCCCCUGAGGUUGUUGGAAUUAUUCGCAAUAAAAUAUUGGCUACAAUUGAGGAGGUCUUAUCAAUGAAAUUUCCAUUUACACGGGAUCUAGGCAUAAUUCCCAACCCAUUCUAUGAUAAAAUUGUUUUCAUUCCUUCACAAAAUAACAUAAAAACAAACACAUUUGAUUCUUAUAACUAGAUCGAUCCAUAUGCUCUAAAUCGAUAAGAGAGGUAUGGAUUUUCCGCUCAGCUUUAAUUUUUUCCUUUUCUUUCUGUUUGGACAAGAAGAUAUAUUAAAUAUUUGACUAAGACUGGGUUUGAUUCUACUUUCCUAUUUCUCAACAACAACUUCGCUCAUCAGCUAUUUCGUGUUUUCAAAGUUAUUAAUUGUCUCAUACCUUAUUUUCGAUUUCGAUAGUCUGGUGUAGCGUACCUUAUGCAAACAGAAUUCUAAGGUUUCUUUAUUUUAUUAUGCAAUAAGAAGAAUUCUUCCAUUCUCUUUUUCUUUGGUUUUAGGAAAAUCCAAACUAAAACUUUUAUAGGGGAAGCAAUUCCUAGUAAAAAAAUCCUGGAUCCUUCCACUUAACUUAGAUCAAAAGGAAUUUUUCCAAUAGAACUAUGGAACCCCUGAGCGGUUGUACUUGUACUGCAGGAAUAGGAAAACUCGCUAUUUACUCAGUUUAUUUGCCAUAAUGAGUUAUGUGGGAGAGAUGGCCGAGCGGUUCAAGGCGUAGCAUUGGAACUGCUAUGUAGACUUUUGUUUACCGAGGGUUCGAAUCCCUCUCUUUCCGUUUUUCUUAAUUCAUCAACGUUAAGGAGCACAGUGUAUCAAAUCAAAUAACAAUUUAUUCCAGCAAUAAUACCCUUACCCUUAUUUAAUAGAAAUUCUCUAUAGCAAAUUACUGUGGUAUGUAAAAAUACACAUAGAGAAAAGAACAAAAAAGAAAAAAGGAUCCUCGGGUUAAUCCAUUUUUGCUAGUUGAGUAGGAAAAUACGAAUUAGGGCCUUAGGUCGAUUUAGUUCGGGAAAAGGGGAAGAAAAUUCUAUGAACCUUUCCUUUUUUCGUUAAGUUCAAGUCUGACGAGAGUAAUAUUCUACAACUAACAACUCAUUUAUUUUGAGACCUACCCACUUCCUAUCUAGGAUUUUAUUUACUAGUCCUUUAUAUUCCAAUGUGUCAAUCGUCAAAUGCUUUGGCAAUUUUCCCGGGUCGGAUGAAGCAAUAGAAUUUUGAACCAGACUUUGUGAUCUUUGGUUAUCUUUCGUAGUAAUAAUAUCUCGAGGUUUGCAACGAAAACUUGGUAUAUUAACUAUACGACCAUUAACCAAAAUAUGUCUAUGGUUGACUAAUUGGCGGGCCCCAGGAAUGGUUGCCGCCAUACCCAAUCGAAAAAGGAUAUUAUCCAAACGCAUUUCAAGUAAUUGUAGUAAAACCUGACCUGUGGACCUUUUUGCUUUUCCAGCGAUAUGUACAUAUCUAAGUAAUUGUCGUUCUGUCAGACCAUAAUGAAAACGCAAUUUCUGUUUUUCUUGAAGACGAAUACGAUAUUGCUCCUUUUUCCCAGAAUGGAAUUUCUUUUUCAGAUUACUUCCGGAUUUAGGUGUUUUUCUAGUGAGUCCUGGUAAAGCUCCCAGACGGCGUAUUUUUUUUAAACGAGGUCCUCGAUAACGGGACAUGAAGACUCCUUUUUUAUUUUAUUGAAAUUUCAUUUUACACAAUUAAUUUCAUUGUAUUUACAUUACGGAAUACAUCGAAAUUAAAACUGAAUUAAACUAAAGGAUAAACAGAGUAAAAUCAACUAAAGUACCAUAAAAAAUAGAAUUUCAUCAACAUCUGGAUUUUUUGUAUAUAUAUUAUUUAUUUUAUUCUUUUGUAUCUAGCAAAAUUGUAAGGUAGAAAACAAAAAAGAUCCUGGAUUCCCCAUUUAAUCCGAAAAAAAAAAGAGAUUCUUGUUCGUAGAACAUCGAUAACGAAAAAAAAGCCGACUAUCGGAUUUGAACCGAUGACCCUCGCAUUACAAAUGCGAUGCUCUAACCUCUGAGCUAAGUGGGCUUAGAUAGCAGAAAUAGUGUAACAAAUAGAAAUAGGUAUAGUAUAGAAAUCCGUAAAAUCUGAGAUCUUAGUUAUUAAUCUUAGCUAUUAACUAGUUCUCAAUUUGAAGUUCUACUUAAAAAAAUACUAGAACUUUUUAAAGAUAAAGUUAGCUUGAUAUGCUUAACUAGAGGAUAUCCUUAAAUAAAAGUAUAGAAUUUAUUGAACUUUCUUUUUAUUUCUCUAAUUCGCAAAUCUUUUUUCUAAGAGUUGAUUCCAAUUUCUAUAUUGAAUUUGAUUUCAGAUAUUUUCAAUUUGAUAUAGCUCGGACGAAUAAUCUAAUACAUAGAAAAGAAAUAUAUAUAUAUAUUAUGAAAUAUAUUAAAGAUAUAAUAAUAUAUAUAUAUUAAAGAAAUAAUAAGGGGAAAAUACGAAUUUAUUGGUGUUUUCAUUCGAUCAUUAUAGACAUUUUUUUAGAUCUUUUUUUAUUUGUUAAUAAUUUGAGGAUUCCUAUUUCUCUAAGGAGAACAUAAAGUCAUAGCAAAUAAAAUUGCCAAUUUUGAGUAGAAAAAAAAUGAAUAUCAAGCGUUAUAGUAUGAUUUUUAAUACUCUAAAAAAGUAAGAUGAGCGGUGGGGGAGAGAAAAAUUUUGGGAUAUAUUGAUUCGGAUUGAAUUGCAAAUACAGCAACGAUAGAAUCAAUGCAAUUCUGAAUUGCAAUAAACAAGCGUGGUCUCUCAAAUAGAAUCGAACUGCUAGAUGACGUCGAGUGAUGAAUUCAACGAUUCCAAAAAAACUAAGAGAUGGAUGAAAUUACGCAAGGAAUCCAGGUCUCAAAAAAAAAGGAAAAUGGGGAUAUGGCGAAAUCGGUAGACGCUACGGACUUGAUUGUAUUGAGCCUUAGUAUGGAAACCUGCUAAGUGUUAACUUCCAAAUUCAGAGAAACCCUGGAAUUAAAAAAGGGCAAUCCUGAGCCAAAUCCGUGUUUUGAGAAAACAAGGGGUUCUCGAACUAGAAUCCAAAGGAAAAGGAUAGGUGCAGAGACUCAAUGGAAGCUGUUCUAACGAAUCGAGUUAAUUUAUUUAGGUUGUUUUGGUAGUGGAAAUCCUUUUAAAUUAGAGAAAGAAGGGAUUUUUACAUCUAAUAAACACGUAUAGAUACUAACAUAGUAAACGAUUAAUCACAGAAUCCAAGUAUAACAUAGGUUCUUUAUUCUUUUUUAGAAUGAAAUUAGGAAGGAUUAUGAAAUAAAAAAUUAAUAAAUUUUUUAGAAUUAUUGUGAAUCCAUUCUAAUUGAAUCUUGAGUAAUCAAAUCCUUCAAUUCAAAGUACUUGAGAUCUUUUAAAAAGUGGAUUAAUCGGACGAGGACAAAGAGAGAGUCCCAUUCUACAUGUCAAUACUGACAACAAUGAAAUUUCGAGUAAAAGGAAAAUCCGUCGACUUUAUAAGUUGUGAGGGUUCAAGUCCCUCUAUCCCCAAAUCCUUUUUAUUCCCCAACUAUCCUCUUUUAUUCCCUAACUUUUAUCCUCUUUUUUUCUUUUUAUCAAUGGGUUUAAGAUUCAUUAGCUUUCUCAUUCUACUCUUUCACAAAGGAGUGCGAAGAGAACUCAAUGGAUCUUAUCCUAUUCAUUGAAUAGAUUUCUUUUUUAUUAGAGUAUCCGCAAGGACUCUCGGUUAUUAACUCUAUUUUUAAGUAUUAUUAAGUAAUCCAUGCACAAUGCAUAGGACCACCCCCCCAUUUUUCAAUUUGGAAUUUGAAAUACUUUAAUUGAUUUUUGAGUCCCUUUAAUUGACAUAGAUACAAAUACUCUACUAGGAUGAUGCACAAGAAAAGGUCAGGAUAGCUCAGUUGGUAGAGCAGAGGACUGAAAAUCCUCGUGUCACCAGUUCAAAUCUGGUUCCUGGCAGAGAAAAAAAAGAUCUACCGAAUAGGUUUUGAUAAAAAUGCCUCAAGAUGGAUUAGGAUACAUAUUCGUUAAUACUAUAAAUAAAGUCUGAUUUAUUCAUCUAGGUGGAUAAGUCUCUAAUAUAGAGGCACUUCUUUUUCUUUUUAGAGAAGGGUAAAAAUCUCUGGUUCUUUUCUUUAUGGUACAGAAGGAGGUGAGAUUAGGUUCCCCUUUAUUUUUUUUUGCAUUUCUUAAUUUUGUAUUCUGCAUAUUACGACGAAUAUUUUUUUAUUCUUGCUUAUCUUACUUUUCCAAUUGUGCUAAGUCAUGCGCGCGAUACAAAGUUCGUGGUAGAGAACUUCUUUGAGUCAUCAUAUUUUUCUGUUCAUAUGAGGGAAAUUCAUAUGUGAUUUUCCAAAUAAGGGAAUCCAAAUGAAACCCUUUUUUUGCUCAGUCUAUCUGGACUACUUUUGUAUAAUAGGAAUUAAUUCGAAAUAGGUAUUCCGUUUCAUCUAGGAACAGAACGUAAAAAUUUUCCUUUACUUGAAUAAAAUCUGGAGUUGUGUUGUAUAAGUCCGCAUGAAUUUCUUAUCAUUCAAUGAGCAUCUUGUAUUUCAUAGAAAUUGGGGGUUAUAUAGUCCUUACGUAAGGGCCAGCCUACCCAACUUUCAGGCAUUAGGAUACGUUUAAGGCGCGGAUGAUUAUCAUAAGAGAUUCCCACCAUAUCAUAAGAUUCGCGUUCUUGAAAAUCGGCACUUCUCCAAAUCCAGAAGACAGACGGAAUUCUAGGAUUAUCCUUUUGGGCAAAGACUUUUAUGCAUACUUCUUCUGGGUUAUCUAUGCCAUACUGUAUUCUCGUAAGAUGAUACACGCUAGCUAAAGAUCCACCGGGUGCUACAUCAUAAGCACAUUGGGAGCGUAAAUAAUUGUAACCAUAUACGUAUAAAAUGACAGCAAUGGAAUCCCAAUCCCCCGCUUUUAUUUGUAAAGUCUCUAUUCCUCGGUGAUCAAAGCCCAAAGAUCUAUGAACCACCUUAUGUUUGACUAGCCAAUUAGAUAACCAACCCUGCUGCAUUGUCUUGAUCUCUCCCUCUUUGUUUUGUAUAAAUAUUUCACAUUUCGGAUGCAAGUUUCAAAGAUUGCCUUGCUUUUUAUUUUUCUAGACAAAAGAACCCCCCUCCUAAUUCACUAAUUUGUAGGAAGGUACUAUACUUUUGGAUUUGUAAAAAUUUUCAGAAGAUAUAUCUAAAGUAGAUGGUGAUUGAUAGAGCAAUUCUUGCUCGUAAGUUCCAGUAUGAGUACUGCGCCGAACAUAAAGCUUGUGACUGGUAGUAAAACAUCGGUUUUUAUUUUGAGAUCGAAUUCGAUCCUCAACUAUUUCUCGCGAUAUCUUCUUACGAAGUUUUGUUAGGGCAUCUAUAACCGCCUCCGGUUUAGGUGGGCAACCCGGCAAGUAGACAUCCACAGGAAUUAACUUAUCAACUCCUCGAACAGUACUAUAGGAAUCCGUACUGAACAUUCCCCCUGUAAUAGUACAAGCUCCCAUAGCAAUGACGUAUUUUGGUUCAGGCAUUUGCUCGUAUAACCUCACUAAAGAAGGAGCCAUUUUCAUUGUUACUGUACCAGCUGUUAAAAUUAGGUCCGCUUGCCUAGGACUUGAUCUUGGUACCAAUCCAUAACGAUCAAAGUCGAAUCGCGAGCCUAUUAAUGAAGCAAAUUCAAUGAAACAACAACUGGUACCGUAUAGAAGGGGCCAUAAACUGGAGAGUCUUGACCAAUUUGAAAGAUCGUUUGGUGUAGUUGAAAUAACAGAAUUGGAACUUGUUUGGUCAAGUAAAGGAAACUCAAUCAAACUCAUAACUGUCUCAAUGGAAUCUUUUUCUUCUUUUUUUUUUUCUAAAUAUUCAGUUAAGACCAUUCCAAGGCUCCUUUUCGCCAUGCAUAAACUAAACCAACAACUAGGAUAAGCACGAAAAUGAAAGCUUCGAUAAAAACGGAUACACCCAAUACGUCGAAACUCAUUGCCCAAGGGUAGAGAAAGACGGUUUCCACAUCAAAAACAACAAAAACUAGCGCAAACAUGUAAUAGCGUAUUCGGAAUUGUAGCCAAGCCCCUCCCAUGGGUUCUAUACCCGAUUCAUAACUAGAAAGCUUUUCGGGUCCUUCACUAAUCGGGGCUAAAAGCCCUGAAAUCCAAAAUGCCAAAAUCGGAAUAAGGCUUGCUAUUAUUAGAAAUGUCCAAAAAAUAUCAUAUUCGUGAAGCAGAAACAUAAUGUACUCCCAUUAAUGUAGAAUAGACGAGACUUAAAUUAAUCAAUUCAAUUAUGCAUUGUCAAUUCAUCCAGAACUUAUCUCUUUUCCUCGGUGAAACAAGAAUCUGUUUUGUUCAAACAAAAUCGCUUAGUUUAGCCUUUGUUUUCUCUGUGCUGUGUCUUCUUUAAAGAUUCAUCCAAUGGAAUCCCAACUCCCCUUCUUUUUUUUCCAUUCUAUUUAGAUAUGGUAUAGAUCUAAUUCUUAUAUAAAAAAUACUUUAUCCCUUCACUUUAUUUUGCUUUCUCUAUAAUCUUUAGAACCUAAUUAACAUAAGAGGACUAGUCUAUGCAGUAGACUGAGAAGUAAUACUAUAAAAAAAUAAGGAACUCUAUUUCAGAACUAUGAGACAUAAUAUUCUGUUUUCUUAUUUACUCUUUACUUUAAUUCUUUCUAUUUUUUUUUCUAUUUAGGAUUUUAAGUAGAUCGAUUUAGAUAAUGUAUAUAUAAGCAAAGUAAUAUACUUAAAACAAAGUAUAAAUUCGCAAGAUGGAGAAAAUCAUUGCAGUUUUUAUAGGGAAGUCUAGAGAUACCCUAUUUGAAGAAGGGCGGGAUUCAAAUCAGGGAAGGGCUCUUUUCUUCUAUUGAUUUGAUAGAAAUCACUUUUUCGUUUCUUAUCUCUAUGAUUUUUGAUGAAUGAGCCUGUGGUAAUGCUUUUACGCCUAUUCUAUGUCGCAGGCGCCCGCCCAGUCUAUAAACAAGUACUAAUGUGAAAAUAAAAGCUAUACUAAGGAAAACAUAGGAUAUCUAUACUAAAAUCCAAAAAUAGGACAUAUUAGGGCUAUACGGAUUCGAACCGUAGACCUUCUCGGUAAAACAGAUCAAACAGAUUAUUAUCGAAAUGAUUCGAACUGUUUCAAAGACCCAACAUGCAUUUUUUUGCAUUGGGCUCUUUCAUCAACUGAUUUAAAGAUCAGUUAGUCCACCAUAGUUUUUCUUUACGGAAAGAUAAUGAGAUGGCUCCCUGUGCUCUGAUUGAUUAUUUGUAUUAUGGUCUAUCUAGGAGCAAUACCAAAGUGUUUCAAAGGAGGAUUACCUUGACUUAGGUCUGCCUCCGGCCUAAAUUAAAUCAACCUAAGUGAAAUGGAGUCUCUAUCGUUCCACUGCAAGAGUUAACUAUGAGACUUCAUACACCUUAAAGUUCAUAGAACGAAAAGAAGUUUUUUGGAGGCCCUUAUCCUCAUUACGCCUAGCAUUUAGUGGGCUGGAUAUUUACCUUAUCAACUAGCAAAUCCAUAAGGGUUCGAUUUGAUUAGGCACCAGAAUGGGGACCUGAAUCGGACUGAACUGACUCUUUGUCAGGCUACUGUUCUCCUAUUCUGUCGAAUCUAUGAAGUAAGACAUUGAUUUUGCAAUAAGAUCCAAAAUAUUCAUUGCAUAAUAAGCUCCUUUGAAAAGCAUUGGCGCACGUGUAAACGAGUUGCUCUACCGAACUGAGCUAUAGCCCUUAUCAGAGAUAUCUUAACAUAUAGAUAAUUUAUUGUCAAGAUGAAUAUUCUCUAAUGCCAGAGGGUAUCUCUUUAAAUAUGUAUCUGUUUAGUAUAUAACAUACCAAUAAGGAAGCGUUAUUGCUUAGAAAAGGGAUUCGAUAUAUAAUCGAUCGAAGUAAUGGGUCUUCCUUUGUGAUCAUAAAUUGCCUACUUAACUCAGUGGUUAGAGUAUUGCUUUCAUACGGCGGGAGUCAUUGGUUCAAAUCCAAUAGUAGGUAGGUAGGUAGAAAAAUUACUAGAUAGCAUUGGGCUUAUUUCGCUUCGCUAUCUAAUAACUUUUUCUACCCCUCUUCCCUUUAUCUUUGUAUCAACUAUAAACCAUUGGAUUGUCUUCAAUUGGAUGGGGGAAUCCAAUUGACAGCCUCGAUUCGUAUCCUAGCUCGUCUGAGAGCUAGUUUCGCUUCAACCAAUUCUUUCGUACCCUCAGCUUUACUCAAGUUAUCUUCGGCUAUUUUAAGUGCCUGUUGAGCUUCUUCCGGAUCAAUAUCACUACCCAGUUCCGCAUCAUUUCCUAAAAUAAUGAUCUCAUUAUUAACUAUUCUCGCAAAACCGCUCCACAGAACCGCCGUUAACCAUUGGUCGUUGAGGAGGCGUAUUCUCAAAGGACCCAUAUCUACUGCUGUGUUAAUGGGGGCAUGGUUUGGUAAUACCCCAAUUUGACCACUAUUAGUGGAUAAAAUGAUUUCUUUCACUUCACAAUCCCAAAUAAUUCGCUUAGGAGUCAGUACAUAAAGAUUUAAUUUCAUUUCUUCGAUUUGUUCUCCUCUUCUAAGGUUAUAGCUUUCGUGCUAGCUUCAUCGAUGUUACCCACCAAAUAAAAAGCCUGCUCGGGUAGGCCAUCUAAUUCUCCGGAAAGGAUUAGUUGAAAUCCCCUAAUUGUUUCUGCAAGACCAACAUACUUUCCUGCAGAACCAGUAAAAACUUCUGCUACAAAGAACGGUUGUGAUAAGAAACGCUCAAUUUUUCGCGCUCUUGCUACAGUUAAACGAUCCUCCUCCGAUAAUUCAUCCAAUCCAAGAAUUGCGAUAAUGUCCUGAAGUUCCUUGUAACGUUGUAAAGUUUCCUUAACUCUUUGCGCAGUUUCAUAAUGUUCGUUGCCAACGAUCCGAGGCUGUAACAUAGUUGAGGUUGAAUCUAAAGGAUCUACUGCUGGAUAAAUACCCUUGGAAGCUAAUCCUCUGGAAAGUACGGUAGUAGCAUCCAAAUGGGCAAAUGUUGUGGCAGGAGCAGGGUCAGUCAAAUCGUCCGCAGGUACAUAAACCGCUUGGAUCGAAGUUAUAGAUCCCUUUUUAGUAGAAGCAAUUCUUUCUUGCAAAGAACCCAUUUCUGUACUAAGAGUAGGUUGAUAACCCACCGCGGAGGGCAUUCUCCCUAAUAAAGCGGAUACCUCCGAUCCUGCUUGAACAAAACGAAAGAUAUUAUCGAUGAAUAAAAGCACGUCUUGCUUAUUAACAUCUCGGAAAUAUUCCGCCAUAGUUAGGGCAGUUAAACCAACUCUCAUACGAGCUCCCGGUGGUUCAUUCAUUUGGCCAUAGACUAGAGCUACCUUUGAUUCCUCAAUAUUUUUUUCAUUAAUUACUCCGGAUUCCCUCAUUUCCAUAUAAAGAUCAUUUCCUUCACGAGUCCGUUCCCCUACUCCACCAAAUACGGAUACGCCCCCAUGAGCUUUAGCAAUGUUGUUGAUUAAUUCCAUGAUGAGUACUGUUUUACCUACUCCAGCCCCCCCAAAUAGUCCUAUUUUUCCUCCACGUCGAUAAGGAGCUAAAAGAUCGACGACCUUAAUACCUGUUUCAAAGAUGGAUAAUUUCGUAUCUAACUCGAUAAAGGCAGGCGCAGAUCUAUGAAUAGGGAACGUUGCACUACUAUCUACAGGACCCAAAUUGUCAACAGGCUCCCCAAGAACGUUGAAAAUUCGCCCGAGAGUAGCUCCGCCGACCGGAACACUGAGAGGAGCUCCUGUGUCAAUCACUUCCAUUCCUCUCAUCAACCCAUCUGUAGCACUCAUAGCUACAGCUCUAACUCGAUUAUUUCCUAAUAAUUGUUGUACCUCACAAGUCACAUUAAUUUGCUUAUCGGCAGUGUCUCUACUCUGGACUACCAAAGCGUUAUAAAUAUAAGGUAACUUACCGGGGGGAAAAGUGACGUCCAGCACGGGUCCAAUAAUUUGAUCGAUACGGCCUGUACUUUUUUCUUCAAUUGGGGAAACCCCGGGACGAGAAGUAGUAGGAUUGGUUCUCAUAAUUAUCACAUAAUAAAAAAAAAGGAAUUUGUCGAAAUUUUUAUUUUUUUCUUGUUGAAUAAUACCAAAUCCAAAAAAAUAUCCAAAAAUCCAAAAGUAAAAAGGAAAUCAAUUAGUUAAUUCAAUAAGAGAAAAAAGGGGAACAGGACUUGAUUUCGUUGCCCAAGCGAAUCCCUUUCAACCCUUUACUCAUGGAAUGAGGCCGUUGGAAAGUUCAAUCAAUCUUUUUUUCAUAAGAUAGAUUUUUCCUUUUGUAGAGGAUCUGUGCCUACUCUACUUUCCUAUCUAGGACUUCGCUAUACAAAAUAUAUACUACUGUGAAGCAUAGAUUGCUGUCAACAGAAAAUUUUCUUAGUAUUUAGUUAGGUAUUUCUUUUCAAAAUAAGAAAGGGGCCCUUUAAUAAUUUGUAAAAAAAAAGGUUAAGGAUUGAUUUGGGUUGCGCUAUAUCUAUCAAAGAGUAUACAAUAAUGAUGGAUUUGUUAAAUCAAAUCCUUGGUUUAAUAACGAACGGUGUUAACUUACCAUAACAACAACUCAAUUCCUAUCGAAUUCCUAUAGUGAAAUUCCUAUAGGAUAGAACAUACACAGGGUAUACGCAUUAUAUAUGAAUGAAAAAUAUUAAUUAACUUAAGCAUGCCCUCAAUUUUCUGUAAUGAGUUGCUAUUAAUUGAAUAUCUCUUUUUUUUUAUGAGAUUUUUGCUAAAGUUUCAUUUACGCCUAAUUCACAUCGAGUAGACCUUGUUAUUGUGAGAAUUCUUAAUUCAAGAGUUGUAGGAGGGACUUAUGUCACCACAAACAGAAACUAAAGCAAGUGUUGGAUUUAAAGCUGGUGUUAAAGAUUAUAGAUUGACUUACUACACCCCGGAGUAUGAAACCAAGGAUACUGAUAUCUUGGCAGCAUUCCGAGUAUCUCCUCAACCUGGGGUUCCGCCCGAAGAAGCAGGGGCUGCAGUAGCUGCCGAAUCUUCUACUGGUACAUGGACAACUGUUUGGACUGAUGGACUUACUAGUCUUGAUCGUUACAAAGGACGAUGCUAUCACAUCGAGCCUGUUCCUGGGGAAGACAGUCAAUGGAUCUGUUAUGUAGCUUAUCCAUUAGAUCUAUUUGAAGAGGGUUCCGUUACUAACAUGUUUACUUCCAUUGUAGGUAACGUAUUUGGUUUCAAAGCCCUACGUGCUCUACGUCUGGAGGAUCUACGAAUUCCCCCUACUUAUUCAAAAACUUUCCAAGGCCCGCCUCACGGUAUCCAAGUGGAAAGAGAUAAGUUGAACAAGUAUGGUCGUCCUUUAUUGGGAUGUACUAUUAAGCCAAAAUUGGGAUUAUCUGCAAAAAAUUACGGUAGAGCGUGUUAUGAGUGUCUACGUGGUGGACUUGAUUUUACCAAAGAUGAUGAAAACGUAAACUCACAACCAUUUAUGCGCUGGAGAGAUCGUUUUGUCUUUUGUGCCGAAGCUAUUUAUAAAUCACAGGCGGAAACCGGUGAAAUCAAGGGGCAUUACUUGAAUGCAACUGCGGGUACAUGUGAAGAAAUGAUGAAGAGAGCUGUUUUUGCGAGAGAAUUAGGUGUUCCUAUUGUAAUGCAUGACUACUUAACUGGGGGAUUCACCGCAAAUACUACUUUGGCUCAUUAUUGCCGCGACAAUGGCUUACUUCUUCACAUUCACCGUGCAAUGCAUGCAGUUAUUGAUAGACAGAAAAAUCAUGGUAUGCAUUUCCGUGUAUUAGCUAAAGCAUUGCGUAUGUCUGGGGGAGAUCAUAUCCACGCCGGUACAGUAGUAGGUAAGUUAGAAGGGGAACGCGAAAUCACUUUAGGUUUUGUUGAUUUAUUGCGCGACGAUUUUAUUGAAAAAGAUCGUGCUCGCGGUAUCUUUUUCACUCAGGACUGGGUAUCCAUGCCAGGUGUUAUACCAGUAGCUUCAGGUGGUAUUCAUGUUUGGCAUAUGCCAGCUCUGACCGAAAUCUUUGGGGAUGAUUCUGUAUUACAAUUUGGUGGAGGAACUUUAGGACAUCCUUGGGGAAAUGCACCUGGUGCAGCAGCUAAUCGAGUGGCUUUAGAAGCCUGUGUACAAGCUCGUAACGAAGGGCGCGAUCUUGCUCGUGAAGGUAAUGAAAUUAUCCGAGCAGCUUGCAAAUGGAGUCCUGAACUAGCCGCAGCUUGUGAAGUAUGGAAGGCGAUCAAAUUCGAGUUCGCGCCGGUAGAUACUAUCGAUUAAUAGAUAAAACUAAAUAUGAAGAAGGUCUAAAUAAAAAGAAACAAAAUAAAAAGAGAAAAAAUAAGUUACGAAAUGCAGUAAUUCUUCUUUAUUCUUCUAAUUGACUGCAAUUAAACUCGGCUCAAUCUUUUUUUUUAGAAAAAAAAAGAUUGAGCCGAAUAAAAAUGGAUCAUGAUACGAUCAUGAGACUUCACAAAUCGAGAUUCGCCUAUUCUAUAUAUCUAGAAUAUAUAAAGGUAUAAUAAAUAAAUACAAAUCAAAUAUACUAUUAUCAUAUGAUAAUAGAAUCAAAUACGCAGUAUUUACAGAAAAAAGUCUUCUAUAAAAAAUAUUUUUUUUGCAAACUAAAAAAUACAAUAGUCAAUAUUCCUCAUAAUAGAUAUACUUAAUUAUAUCAUAAGAAUCUUAAGACAUUUUUCGAAUAGAUAGAAAUAGUUAAUUUGAAUUGAGACACCUAUUCUAUGACGGAUUUAAACUUACCUUCGAUUUUCGUGCCUUUAGUAGGCUUAGUAUUUCCGGCAAUUGCAAUGGCUUCUUUAUUUCUUUAUGUGCAGAAAAAUAAGAUUGUCUAGUAUUUUUUAGUGUAAGUAAGUGUAAGUAAUAGAAUAUGGUAGGGUAUGUGGCUCUUUCUACACACAAAUGAAAAACGGCUAUGGAUGCGGAUAUAGGCUACAAGCAUAAAUGCAUGAAUAUGCGGAGCCGGGUAUAGCUAUUUUUAUUUUAAUUGAAUCAACGAAUAUUUUUUGAAUAGAAAGUCAGUGUAUCUAACCUAUUAUUUCACAAGAGUACUAGUUGCUGAAGGCGAUUUCAGAAUCAAAAAAAGUAAAGUCAAAAUCAUUUAGCUUAUUCUCUCAAUUUCAAUCGACUGCUGCUGGAUUUAGUAUAUCUAAUAUGAAUUGGCGAUCAGAACACAUAUGGGUAGAACUUCUAAAAGGUUCUCGAAAAAGGGGUAAUUUUUUCUGGGCCUCUAUUCUUUUUCUAGGUUCACUAGGAUUCUUAUCAGUUGGGGUUUCCAGUUAUCUUGGUAAGAAUAUGAUAUCUAUACUUCCAUCUCAACAAAUUCUUUUUUUUCCGCAGGGAGUCGUGAUGUCUUUCUACGGAAUCGCGGGCUUAUUCAUUAGCUCCUACUUGUGGUGUGCUAUUUUGUGGAAUGUAGGUAGUGGUUAUGACCGAUUCGAUAGAAAAGAGGGAAUCGUGUGCAUUUUUCGUUGGGGAUUCCCUGGAAUAAAACGUCGCGUCUUCCUUCGAUUCCUUAUGCGGGAUAUCCAAUCAAUUAGAAUUCAGGUUAAAGAGGGUUUUUAUCCUCGUCGUAUCCUUUAUAUGGAAAUCCGGGGCCAGGGGGUCAUUCCCUUGACUCGUACUGAUGAUAAGUUUUUUACUCCACGAGAAAUUGAACAAAAAGCUGCCGAAUUGGCCUAUUUCUUGCGCGUACCAAUUGAAGUAUUUUGAAUAUCCAUUGUAUUUUUUGGAACUGAAUAGAAUGAAGAAGAAUUGGAAGAAGAAAAGUUUUCUCAACAUGGGGAGGAAGUCCCUCCGAAAUUUGAUUUGUUAUUGUAUUGUAAGGGGCUUUUUUAGUAUUUAUCUAAAGGAAGGAACAAACGAGGAUAAGAUAAAAUUUCUUUAAAUUUAUUUUGCCCAAGUGGGAUAUAUGGCAUACUAUUCUUUCCAUUUUCAUCUUUUUUUCUAUUCCACUCCAUCUAGAUAUAAGAAAGAACCCAAUGCAAUGAAAUUCCACUAAUAUACAAUACAAAAAAGAAGAAUAGAUACAGGGUCUCAAACCUUGCUAUAGAGUUUUUGCUUCAAAGAAAAAAAAAUAUCAUCAUAGAGUCAGCGAAUGAAGCGGAUUCAUUAACAACUCAAUUUAUAGAUCAAAAAUGAAAAAAAAGAAAGCAUUGCCUUCUUUACUAUAUCUUGUAUUUAUCGUACUUUUGCCCUGGGGGGCCUCUUUCUCAGUUAACAAAUGUCUGGAACUUUGGAUUAAGAAUUGGUGGAAUACCAGACAAUCUGAAACUCUCUUAACUGAUAUUCAAGAGAAAAGGAUUCUAGAAAGAUUCAUAGAAUUAGAAGAACUUUCUCUCUUGGACGAGAUGAUAAAAGAGAAACCAAAGACACAUGUACAAAAACCUCCUAUAGGAAUACACAAGGAAAUAAUACAAUGGGUCAAAAUAGAUAAUGAAGAUCAUCUCCAUAUCAUUUUGCAUUUCUCGACAAAUAUAAUCUGUUUGGCUAUUCUAAGUAGUUCUUUUUUUUUUGGUAAAGAGGAACUUGUCAUUUGGAAUUCUUGGGUUCAGGAAUUCUUCCAUAACUUAAAUGACUCAAUAAAAGCUUUUUUUAUCCUUUUGGUUACUGAUUUUUUUGUUGGAUUUCACUCCACCCGGGGUUGGGAACUAGUAAUUCGUUGGGUCUACAACGAUCUUGGAUGGGCUCCUAACGAGCUAAUUUUUACUAUUUUUGUUUGUAGUUUUCCAGUAAUUCUAGAUACAUGUUUGAAAUUUUGGGUCUUUUUUUGUUUAAACCGUCUAUCCCCUUCGCUUGUAGUCAUUUAUCAUUCAAUUAGUGAAGCAUAAAUUCAUUUGAUCUCCUGAUAUUAAUCAAAUUAGCAUCUUUCUUUCUUUAGAAAAAGGCCCCUUUCCAUUUUAGCAAAAUUCUUUCUAUUUCUACCUGCUUAAAGGUAUUCAUCAUUCCGGUACAACUGUUGCAGUAGAAUGACAACAGACUCGUGUAUAGGGAACUAGAUUAGCUUAGCUACCUAUCUAAUUUAUUGUAGAAAUUCUGGGAUCUGCGAUUGGACAUGGAAAAUAGAAAUACUUUUUCUUGGGUAAAGGAACAGAUGACUCGAUCGAUUUCUGUAUCGAUCAUGAUAUACGUAAUAACUCGGACAUCUAUUUCAAAUGCAUAUCCCAUUUUUGCGCAGCAGGGUUAUGAAAACCCACGAGAAGCAACUGGACGAAUUGUAUGCGCCAAUUGCCAUUUAGCUAGCAAGCCCGUGGAUAUUGAAGUUCCCCAAGCUGUGCUUCCCGAUACUGUAUUUGAAGCAGUUCUCCGAAUUCCUUAUGAUAUGCAACUGAAACAAGUUCUUGCUAAUGGGAAAAAGGGAGGGUUAAAUGUGGGUGCUGUUCUUAUUUUGCCCGAGGGAUUCGAAUUAGCGCCGCCCGACCGUAUUUCCCCUGAGUUGAAAGAAAAGAUAGGAAAUCUCUCUUUUCAGAGUUAUCGUCCCGAUAAAAAAAAUAUUCUUGUGAUAGGCCCUGUUCCCGGUAAGAAAUAUAGUGAAAUUGUCUUUCCCAUUCUUUCCCCUGAUCCUGCUACGAAGAAAGAUGCUCAUUUCUUAAAAUAUCCCAUAUAUGUAGGGGGAAACCGAGGAAGAGGGCAGAUCUAUCCUGAUGGUAGCAAGAGUAACAAUACGGUCUAUAAUGCUACGUCAACAGGUAUAGUAAAAAAAAUACUACGUAAAGAAAAAGGGGGGUAUGAAAUAUCCAUAGUGGAUGCAUCGGAUGGACGCCAAUUGAUUGAUAUUAUACCUCCCGGGCCAGAACUUCUUGUUUCAGAGGGGGAAUCCAUCAAGCUUGAUCAACCAUUAACAAGUAAUCCCAAUGUGGGAGGAUUUGGUCAGGGGGAUGCAGAAAUAGUGCUUCAGGAUCCAUUACGCGUCCAAGGCCUUUUGUUCUUCUUCGCAUCCGUUAUUUUGGCACAAGUUUUUUUGGUUCUCAAAAAGAAACAGUUUGAAAAGGUUCAAUUGUACGAAAUGAAUUUCUAGGUCCCGGGAUUUCUUACCAUCAACUUGGUAAAAAGCCGGGAUUUAUUGGCAAUUGUUAGAAUUAUCUAUGAUCUAUUUUGGAAAUCCUUUUUUUGUUUAGACUUUUUUUUGUUUGCGAGAUGUCUGGAAUUCCUUAUUUCUAUCUCAUGCAAAAGAAGAGAAUCCAAGGCAAAGGCGAGAACAAUAAAAGGAUUUCUUCCUUUUCGAAGGGAUUGCUGGUCUUGUUAAUCGUCUAUUCGGCACAAGAAAAAGACAAAAAGGCCUUUUUCUUGUGCCGAUUCUUCUUUUCUUGUCUCGAAAUAAGAAUCCUUUUUCUUUCUAUUCGUCAAAGGUUACAAUUUCUUCUUUAUUCGGGUCUGUCUCUUGGCCCUCUUUUGCUUAGGUUCAGGGGAGGUAGUGCACAAACAGAGGGGAAGGGAAUAUGGCGGGGGACAAAUUUAUUGUGAUUGUGAGCAAAUAGAAUUGCUUGACUUGUUCGAUUAAGUUCAAUUUAGAACUUACAGAAAUUUUGCAAAAAAAACGUAAACUUUUCCGUUGAAGGGUGGUUUUUUUUAGGCUAGUUGAGUAGUUUUGAUUAAGGUUUUAUUAGUUUAUUACUCUAAGCUAAAUCAAUGAUUUCCAGGAGACUCCCUUCGUGGAAUAAAAUAUUGUAUUGGAUCCUCGAUUGAUCUCUUUUUCUUAUUGCUUCAUAAGAGUGAAUCGAAUAGAUUAAAGUCGCGUUAUAAGAGUAAGAAUUCCGCGGGUCCUUUCCGCUCUAAUCAGAUAAAAAAAAGGGGGGGUAAGGACCCGCUAAGCUCCUACUUUUUCAUGUUUCCAAUCCGAUCCCUCCGAUUACUAUAGAGAUGAACCCAAUCCAGAAUAUGAACCAUAAAAGAAAACACCUACUAAACCAAUCACAGGAAUACCAGUUACCGUACCUAUCAGCCAAAGAGGAAUUCUUCCAGUAGUAUCGGCCAUUUCCCCUACUUUCCUCCACAUUUUAUCAAGUGGUCAUGCUAGAGACAAAAACAGUCAUGGAUAGUUAUGUUAUAAGGAUGGUAUCCUUCCAAAUGGGAUAAGAGAGUUCUUACUACUCUCUUCUUUUCUCUCAAUUGAAGAAGUAAUUGGAAAACAAAACAGCAAGUACAAAAAUGAGUAAUAAACCCCAGUAUAGACUGGUACGAUUCAAUUCAACAUUUUGUUCAUUCGGGUUUGAUUGUGUCAUAGUUCUAUAGUUGGAAUUUAGUUUAUCGUUGGAUGAACUGCAUUGCUGAUAUUGAUCCCAAGAAAAAAACAGUAGGUACAGCUAGUCCGUGAAUAGCCAGCCAUCGCACUGUAAAAAUAGGAUAGGUUCGAUCUAUGGUCAUUGAGGGCCUCCUAAAAAGAUCUACUAAAUUCAUCGAGUUGUUCUAAAGAAUCAAAACGGUCGGUUAUUAAAGGAAUUCCUUGUCGGCUUUCCGUGAAAUACUCGUUUGGCCGAGGACUUCCAAACACGUCAUAAGCUAAACCCGUACUGACAAAUAACCAACCCGCAAUGAAUAGGGAAGGUAUAGUAAUGCUAUGAAUAACCCAGUAUCGAAUACUGGUAAUAAUAUCAGCAAAAGAACGUUCUCCCGUGCUUCCAGACAUGCUGAGCUCCCCAAAUUUUUGUACAUUCAAAAAAGGAAUUGAUUCCGUAAAAGAUGGGAUCAACCAGUAAAUAAAAAAUUACUGGUAUUUCAUCCUUGUGAGAUUGUCAAUUUUGUACCAAAGGUGUAUUUUGAGUAUACCGAAUUAGUAUAGCUAUCCUUCCUAUGGCACAGCAAUCCAGUUUUGCUUGGUUCCGAAACAUAAUUCCUUUUUUAUCUUCUUUGUUCUUUGUCUAUAGGUAAGCUAUAUGUUGUUCAAGGCAUCAAUAGAAAACCCACUUUUUUGGAGUCCUACUUAUUUUCAUUGGCUUCGGAAUAGUAGAAGAAUUCGGAAUAGCGGCCAAAAUCUUGGGAAAAUAGAAGUUGAAGUUAAUGAUCAAUAGCUUUGGAUAAAGAAUUUAGGAAAGAUAUUCUCAUACUUACACAAUACAAGGACAAGUAUAUGUGAAAUCUAUCCUUUUUUGGUGAAAAGUUUUCUUCGAAUCCAAUCUUUCCUUUUAAAUCAUUUAUAAAUAAUUUAAUUGGUUAACAUAAUAUCUAAUAAAUAGAAAAUCGAAUAGUGGAUAAUCUGUUAUGAAAGAAAGAAAACAUUAUUUGAAGAAUCAAGAUUUGUGAUUAAUCCUUGUCUUGUUUGUUGGAUUAGGUCUAACUUUCUUGACUAAAUUGCGAGCGUGGAACUUUACGAGAUGAAAUAGGGAAAGACAGAAGAUAGAACUUCAAAGGAUAAUUGAAGCGACUCGUUUUCGAAAAAGGAAUAAAAAUAAAGUAAAUUUAAGGAAGAGGUUUCUUUUUUUAAGGGCCCUUCAGGGGAUAGUGGAAUGCUUUUCUUCUCCUCUUAUUCCAUAUGGAAUACAAUCAGUUAAAAUAAGAAAGAAUAGGGGGAAAUUCCCCCUUUCACUCAAAAAAGAGGGUUAAAUCCUAAAGAAAUAAUCCAAAAUAGGAAGAAGUUUUUUUUUCAAAUUCAAUUGUUUAUUUCUCUCUUAUUCCCAAAUUCCCCUGAAAAUCCAAUUGAAUUUUUCAAUGGGGUUAGAUGAUGUUGUUUUUAAUAUUAUUACUUUACUCAAUGGAAAAAUUCCACAACAAAUCUCUUGAUUCGGAAUUAGUGACUCAUGUAUCAUCUGAUGAAUCCGCUUUCUUUUACACUUCUGUAUCUCACUCUAUCUUGUUUUUUAGUAUUAUCUAAAAUAACUGAUAAAUUAUGAAUUUUCCAUAACUUAGGUAAGUGCUUUACCAACAUAUGUAGUAUAGUAAAAAAAUAAAUGGAAUUUAACCCUUUCAUGCUUACUAUAACUAGUUAUUUCGGUUUUCUAUUGGCUGCUUUAACUAUAACCCCAGCUUUAUUUAUUGGUUUGAACAAGAUACGUCUUAUUUGAAUUGACUGAAUAAGUCAGAAAAUAAAAAUAUUUCUUUUGGAUUCCGGGUAUUCUACGACUCUUUUCCCCACUAAUUACGAAUUCUUUUCUUGGUCAUUGAGAUUCGUGGAUAAUUUAUAGUACUAUUUAGGGAUAGAUCGUAUCUAUUUUUUUAUCCCCUCGAACAAAUCGAAAUGAUUGAAGUUUUUCUAUUUGGAAUCGUCUUAGGCCUAAUUCCUAUUACUUUAGCGGGAUUAUUCGUGACUGCGUAUUUGCAAUACAGGCGUGGGGAUCAGUUGGAUCUUUGAUUGAGUAAUAUUUUUUUUUGAUUGACCUCCUCCUUGGUCUGGAGGAGGUCAAAUUGGAGUUGCAAUUCAACUUUCUUUUGUUAAGUUACUUUACUCUGGUUCGACAUAAGAUAGAUGGAAUCACGCUCUGUAGGAUUUGAACCUACGACAUCGGGUUUUGGAGACCCGCGUUCUACCGAACUGAACUAAGAGCGCUGUCAUUCAUUCAAAAAGAAAACUCUUUUCUACUCCUAACGUAUCUCACGUACGUAUAGUCUGCACAAAUUCAAGUUAUACCCACUUUACCUUUAAUCAAUCUCUUCGCUACGCCCAUAAAGAAGAAAUAAGUAAUAGGUAGGGAUGACAGGAUUUGAACCUGUGACAUUUUGUACCCAAAACAAACGCGCUACCAAGCUGCGCUACAUCCCUUUUCCAAAUUGUUGUACAAUGCCAUUGUACACAAUUCCUGUCUUCUUUUCCAUAUCGUAAUUUUCUUCUUCUUUCUCUAUCUAUAUAGAACCCUCCCGUCAUUUCUUCUUUUUGGUCUCAUCUCAUAUAAUCAAGGAAUGAUAUACAUUUAAAAUCCAAUCGAAUUUCGCCUAUAAAAGAAAGAUUACUAUGGUAAUGUGUAGGAAGAAGGGUGUCAUCUUUUUCUUUUUUAGGGAUAGGGAAAUUUCGUCUAUAUGGUUCAUUUUAUAUAUAGCAUAACGUUCUUGGGCAAGAGUUUCUGAUCAUAUACGUAUUCCAAUAAGGAAGGAGGAUUUUCAAUGCGGAAUAUAAAAACAUAUCUCUCUGUAGCACCUGUGCUAAGUACUCUAUGGUUUGCUGCUUUAGCAGGUUUAUUGAUAGAAAUUAAUCGUUUAUUCCCAGAUGCUUUGUCGUUCCCUUUUUUUUAAUUCUAGUUAUUGCUAUGCGAGAAAUCGAAUUCUUCAUGACAUGAAGAAAUUUUUACCCUUUUCAAUCCUUUUUUAGUAUCGGAAGGAAAAAGAACGAAAUGCUGGAUUGGGCUGAACCUCAGAGUCAUGAAAAAUUUUGGUAAAUCCCAUUUUGGAAAACGGAAAUUCAAUUAAAAGCGAUAUCCAAAGAAAUCAGAGCAUAGAAAAAGGCCCGGCUGACUAAUUAAAUGAAAGGAUUUCGAAACAAAAUCUUUGCUAAUUCGACAAGGAUUGUAUUCUUUAAUUAUUUCUCUAUUUUUUAUUACUUAAUUUAAGAAUUUCAAAAAAAUUAUAUUCUAAUGGAUUUUAUUCUUCUUCUUCGGAUUCAAAAUAGAAGAAUAAAAGAAUAAAUAAGUAGAAGAAUUAAGUUAAGUCAAUCCAACCAAAAAGAAAAGGAGGUUCAUGGCCAAGGGGAAAGAUGUUAGAAUCAGAGUUAUUUUGGAAUGCAUCAGUUGUGUUCGAAAAGGUGCCAAUGAGGAAUCGACGGGAAUUUCUAGAUAUAGUACUGAAAAGAAUCGCCACAAUACACCCGGACAAUUAGAAUUCAAAAAAUUUUGUCGUUAUUGUCGCAAGCACACGACUCAUCACGAAAUAAAGAAAUAGGAAGAUCGUGUGUUCGAUCUUUCCAAAGAACAGAAAGAGUAAGAACUUCCUAUUUUAUUUAAUAUAUAAAUAAAACAUAGAUACAAUACAAAAUAAAAAUCAACUCAUAUUAUUUUAGGUAGAUAUUAUUUCAUAUGUCUAGAGGGUAUUCAUAUACUAUAAUAUGAAUCAAAUAAGAUUAAGAAUAUGAAUCAAAUAAGAUUAAGAUAUGGAUCAAAGAAAGACUACUUCUUCUCGAUCCUAAAUUAAUAAAAUUCUCGAUCCUAAAUUAAUAAAAUAAAGAAAUUUCAUUUCUUUUAUUAAUUUUAAAAUUUUAAAUAAGGAAUAAAUCAUGUAUACAUCUAAACAACCUUUUCUUAAAUCUAAGCAACCCUUUCGUAAAUCCAAGCAAACUUUUAAUAAAUCCAAGCAACCCUUUCGUAAAUCCAAGCAAACUUUUCGUAAAUCCAAACAACCUUUUCGUAGGCGUCCUCGGAUUGGCCCGGGAGAUCGAAUUGAUUAUAGAAACAUGAGUUUGAUUAAUCGAUUUAUUAGUGAACAGGGAAAAAUAUUAUCGAGACGAAUAAAUCGAUUAACCUUGAAACAACAACGAUUAAUUACUCUUGCUAUAAAACAGGCUCGUAUUUUAUCUUUCUUACCAUUUCGUAACUAUGAGAACGAAAAGCAAUUUCAAGCCCAGUCAAUUUCAAUAAUUACAGGUUCUAGACCCAGAAAAAAUAGACAUAUUCCUCAAUUAACGCAAAAGUACAGUUCCAAUCGAAACGUAAGAAACUAUAACCAAAAUUUAAGAAACAACAAUCGGAACUUAAGUUCCGAUUGUUGAUGUUUUAUUCGAAAGGGCCAGGCCUAUAUAUAUUAUAAAGAAAGUAAUCCAGCUCGUUGAUUCCUACCACUUAAUCUUAAAUUAUUGUGUCUUCCCGGAGUCCCCUCUCCGGGAAUUCGGUUUUUAUUAUUCCAGUAUAUUACUUUAUUUAUCCUUUUAAUUGAUGAUCUUGAUUUUCUUGGAAAUCGUGUAAAGGUUAUUUGGAUUUGAUACAGCGACUUGUGCAAGCAUUUUACGGUUAAGAAUCAAUUUCUUCUUAUAUAGGUUGUGUAUUAAUUUACUAUAACUAUCGAAUACUUUAAAUAUCCGCGUUGCUGCGUUUAUCCGAGUGAUCCACAAACGGCGAAAAUCCCUCUUUUGCCUACCUCUAUCUCUAUGAGAGGAAACAAAAGCUCUUUUUACCUGUUGGGUAAUCAUUCGAUUAAGUCUUAAAUGAGCCCCUCUAAAAUUUGAGGCAAAUGAACGCAUUUUUGUUCGUCGUCUCCGGGCUAUAUAUCCUCGCGGAACUCUGGUCAUUGAAUCAAAUUAACCUUAAUGAAUAACUAAUGAUUUCUCUUCUUUUAGCCAUCCUUUUCCCCAUUAAUAACAAAACGAAUUAUUCCGAUAUAUAAAAUAUUAAUUCCAAUGGCUUUUGCUAUAGUAACCUUCCCAACCACGAUUUUUUUUCUACUCCCUUCAGUUAUUUCUAUGCGAAAUAACAAAUUAAUUCUAAUGAUACUAAAAAAAUAGUGGGUUCCAUCGUUUCUAUGGUUCCCUUUUAAACGGCGAGGCCCUCUCUAUACACCGGAGCCCCUUCUUUUAUCAAAAGGUAUUGUGAACUUGUAUAGUUCACAUUCUUUGGCUCUACCUAUCCAUUAUAGAGUAAAUAGCUCUUUUCACAAUAAGAGUUAUCCAUACAGUGACGGCAUUUAAUUAUGAAAGUUAGCUAAGUAGCUGACCCUGUUAGUCCGUUCUUUUAAGAUAAAGGAACAUAAGCCUUUUUCUUUUUAUUACUUUUUCCUCCGCUUAAUGGAUAACUAUUUGCUACCAAUGGAGGAAUUGCUUCUUAUUUCCAAUUUAGAUAACUGGAUUUGCACCAAAGGAAACCACAAAUUCCAUAUAUCAUAGAAAUCUAGGAUAGAGAAGCUAUAUCCUAUUCAUUGGUACCAAUCAUGGCUACUUCAAUUUUUUUUUUAUUUUUUUGAAGUCAUGAUCUGAACGAGUCGCACAUACACCCUAGCACAUGUUCCUCGACGCUGAGGACAUCCUUUAAGCGCGGCUGUUUUUCUAGCAGUUCGUAUUGGCUGUCUUGCGUUUCUAAUAAGUUGUUUAACCGUUGGCAUGUUGUAUGUAUAUAGAAAAAAGUAGAUUGGUUUAGAUCCAUCUUAACCUGAUGAUUGAUCAUCAUGAAGUCUUUCUAUUUUCUAUUAAAUCGAAGAAAACCCGAAUUUAGGUGUGAAAUAACUUUACAAGAAAUCCGGGCACUACCAAUCCUUAAACAUUUCUGGAAACCACACUGGAUCAGUAUCGCAGUGCUCGUGAAUCAUUUCAUCCCCUACAAUAUCGACAAGCCCAUAAGCUUUGGCUUCGUCUGCUGACAUAAAAACAUCCCUUUCCAUGUCUUCGGAUACAACCCAAAAAGGCUUGCCUGUUCUUAGUGCAUAAACCCUUGUGAUCAUUUCGCGAACUUUGUGUAACUCUUCCACUUCUAGUAAAAAUUCUGGUGUCCUUGCUCGAUAAUAAGCACUAGCAGGUUGGUGAAGCAUAAUCCUCGCGUGAGGGAAUGCUAUACGCUUGGUGGGUUCUCCUCCAAGCAGAAUGAAGGACGCCAUGGACGCAGCUAUUCCGAGGCAUAUUGUAUAUAUAUCCGGUGUCACCGUUUGCAUCGUAUCAAAAAUAGCCAUUCCUGAGAUUAGCCAUCCGCCUGGGGAGUUUAUAAACAAAAAAAUAUCACUAAUUCCAUCUUCUAUACUGAGAUAUACCAUGAGACCUGUAAUAUGAUUCGUGAUCUCGCAACGAAUCUCUUGACCUAAAAAAAGUGUCCUUUCUCGAUACAUAACAUUGUAUAAGUCAACCCAAGUCGCUUCUUCAUCUCCGGGAAUCUGGUAAGGUACUUUUGGAACACCAAUGGGCAUAUUAGAUUAAUAUUAUUAAAUUUAAGUAAGAAAACUAUACUUUAAUAUGGAAACGUAAGAAUGGAAGAGAAAGAAAGAAUCUCCGAUUUAUUGUCUUCAUUUUUAUUCUUAUUCUAUAUGAAUACUAUAUAUUCUAUUAAUACGUAGAUUGAAAUAAUACAUAGAUUGAAAGGUUAUACAUAUAAAGAAGAUAACACAGAUUGAAUAAAGAAAAAAGGAAUCGGUGAUUCGAAUCAUAACCAAAGAGGGGUAGGGAUCUAUUCUUGGUUUUUUCCAAAUCGGCCAAGUUACCCAUUGCAUAUUGGCACUUAUCGAGUAUAGAAUAGAUCUGCUUCUUUUUCGUAUUAUAAACAGAAUUAGCUUCUUUUUUUUAAUGGAAUGAAAUAAAUAUUCACGCUUUCUGACACAGAAUCCCAUAGAAGGGUUAGGUCCAUAGGAUAUGGAUAGUCUUUUACAAUGCGAUAAAAUAAAGCGACAUCGUGUCUAUUUUUCUUUGCUAAAGAGGUAUUUCCAUGGGUUUGCCUUGGUAUCGUGUUCAUACUGUCGUAUUGAAUGAUCCGGGUCGAUUGCUUGCGGUGCAUAUAAUGCACACAGCUCUAGUUUCUGGUUGGGCUGGCUCGAUGGCUUUAUACGAAUUAGCGGUUUUUGAUCCCUCUGAUCCUGUUCUGGAUCCAAUGUGGAGACAAGGUAUGUUCGUCAUUCCCUUCAUGACUCGUUUAGGAAUAACAGAUUCGUGGGGUGGUUGGAGUAUUUCAGGAGGAACUGUAACAAAUCCGGGUAUUUGGAGUUAUGAAGGUGUGGCAGGUACGCAUAUUGUGUUUUCUGGCUUGUGUUUCUUGGCAGCUAUCUGGCAUUGGGUAUAUUGGGACCUAGCAAUAUUCUCUGAUGAUCGGACAGGAAAACCCUCUUUAGAUUUGCCCAAGAUCUUUGGAAUUCAUUUAUUUCUUGCAGGGGUGGCUUGCUUUGGCUUUGGGGCAUUUCAUGUAACGGGUUUGUAUGGUCCUGGGAUAUGGGUGUCCGAUCCUUAUGGACUAACUGGAAAAGUACAAGCUGUAAAUCCGGCGUGGGGUGCAGAAGGUUUUGAUCCUUUUGUUCCGGGGGGAAUAGCUUCUCAUCAUAUUGCUGCGGGUACAUUGGGUAUAUUAGCGGGCCUAUUCCAUCUUAGUGUCCGUCCCCCUCAACGUCUAUACAAAGGAUUACGUAUGGGCAAUAUUGAAACUGUACUUUCCAGUAGUAUUGCUGCUGUUUUUUUUGCAGCUUUCGUAGUUGCUGGAACUAUGUGGUAUGGGUCAGCAACCACCCCAAUCGAAUUAUUUGGGCCUACUCGUUAUCAGUGGGAUCAGGGAUACUUUCAGCAAGAAAUAUAUCGAAGAGUUAGCAAUGGUUUAUCCGAAAAUCUUAGUUUAUCAGAAGCUUGGUCUAAAAUUCCCGAAAAAUUAGCCUUUUAUGAUUAUAUUGGUAAUAAUCCAGCAAAAGGGGGAUUAUUCAGAGCAGGCUCAAUGGACAAUGGGGAUGGAAUAGCUGUUGGAUGGUUAGGACAUCCCGUCUUUAGAGAUAAAGAAGGACGCGAGCUUUUUGUACGCCGUAUGCCUACUUUUUUUGAAACAUUUCCGGUUGUUUUGGUAGAUGAAGAGGGAAUUGUGAGAGCGGACGUUCCUUUUAGAAGAGCAGAAUCCAAAUAUAGUGUUGAACAAGUAGGCGUAACAGUAGAGUUCUAUGGUGGCGAACUUAAUGGAGUAAGUUAUUCUGAUCCUGCUACUGUAAAAAAAUAUGCGAGGCGUUCUCAAUUAGGGGAAAUUUUUGAAUUAGAUCGGGCUACUUUGAAAUCGGAUGGUGUUUUUCGCAGCAGUCCAAGGGGUUGGUUCACUUUUGGUCAUGCUACCUUUGCUUUGCUCUUCUUUUUCGGACACAUUUGGCAUGGCGCUAGAACCUUGUUCCGAGAUGUUUUUGCUGGUAUUGAUCCAGAUUUGGAUGCUCAAGUGGAGUUUGGAACAUUCCAAAAAGUUGGAGAUCCUACUACAAGGAAACAGGCAGUCUGAUACACAUUGUUAUGGUAUCUUUCAUUUCACCUUUCUUUUUUGAUUUGGCAUGGGAAACAUCUCCCAUCCUUUCUUUUACUUUUUUUCUUUGUUUAUAUGGUUUUCUUUCUUUAUAUGGGAAAUUUUCCCAAAUGAAAAAUGAAUAGGUGUGGAAGUUAUAAUUGUAAAUAAACCACGAUCGAAUCUAUGGAAGCAUUGGUUUAUACGUUCCUUUUAGUUUCGACUUUAGGGAUAAUUUUUUUCGCUAUCUUCUUCCGAGAACCGCCUAAGGUUCCAACUAAAAGAGUAAAAUAAUUUUAUGGAAGUAAGAAGUCUACCCAUCUGGUAGACUUCUUACUUCCAUUAGUCCCCGUGUUCUUCGAAUGGAUCUCUUAAUUGUUGAGAGGGUUGCCCAAACGCGGUAUAUAAGGCAUACCCAGUAAAGCUUACAAGUAAACCAGAUAUGGAGAUGGCGACUAAAGUUGCUGUUUCCAUUUUUAUAGAAUUUAAAGAUUACAAUGGAUCUACAAAAAGAUCGUGUAUUUACAACUACAACGGAAUAGUAUACAAAGUCAACACCAACGAUUAAAUCGAAUUUAUGGCUACGCAAACCGUUGAAGAUAGUUCUAAACCUAAACCAAGACGAACUGGUGCAGGUAGUUUAUUGAAACCCUUGAAUUCGGAAUAUGGGAAAGUAGCUCCAGGUUGGGGGACUACUCCUUUUAUGGGGGUCGCAAUGGCUUUAUUCGCGAUAUUCCUAUCUAUCAUUUUAGAAAUUUAUAAUUCUUCUGUUUUAUUGGACGGAAUUUUAACCUAUUAGGUUUCUACUAACUAAAAGUACGAAGUCGKAGUUUUUCCAUCCAAAAAAAGCCUUUCUAGUUUAAGCUCUACAUUUCUAGACAUUCUGGUAGUUCGACCGCGGAAUUUUUUUGUUUCGGUAUCUCUGGAAUAUGAGUGUGUGACUUGUUAAAAUUGAUCCUAUUGAUAAUACAUAGAAAGGGCCUGUUAUCUCUAUCAAUAUGAUUCUAAUUCGUCAGAUAUUAUUUAUUCUAGUAUCUGGAACACGAAAUAGAUAGAGUGGAUCAAAAAAAAAAUGGAACUAUGAUUCAUACCCACUAUUCAGACCUCGCAACCAGACUGAAAAAAUUGAAGUAGUUCUUAAUAAAAAAAAAGAAAUUUUCUUCCUUCCAAUUUUGUUUGCACAAAAGACAACUUUAUUUUCUCUCCAUUUUGUCGAGUCAUUACACGGAUUCCAUAAAUGAUUAUCAAGUGGUUCUUAUUCGAAGAACCCUUGCCUUUUGUUUAGCUUGAGACUCAAUCAUCGUGGCUCUAGUAUGAAUCUAAGGUUUAAAUUGAACUGAUUCAUAGGAUCGCAACANGAUAAUUUCUAUCAGAAAACUACUAGAAUUUUGGCUUUCUUAUUUACUAGUAAAUAAAGAGUAAAUCCGCAUUACACACAAAAAAAUAAAUCAAAAAUAGGGAAGAGAAAAGUCAAGAGGCCUCUAAUGACCAAUAUAAGGGAAAGGAAGAAAGACAGAUGAGCCAACUUGAGAUUUUUUGGCAUUAGCAUUACAAAGAGGAUAUUCCGGAUUUUUCUUAUUUCAUAUCUUCAAGGCAAAUCGACCCAAUCCAGUGGCUGAUGAAGUUUUGAACCUUUUUUCUAAUAUUCGUUGAAAAUUUGUGUGUUUCUGCUUGAGCCGUACGAGAUGAAAUUUUCAUAUACGGUUCUUAGAGGGGGACUUAGGUUAGUUACCUAUCUCAAUAAAGUAUAUGAUUGGUUUGAGGAACGUCUUGAGAUUCAGGCAAUUGCAGAUGAUAUAACUAGUAAAUAUGUUCCUCCUCAUGUCAACAUAUUUUAUUGUUUAGGGGGAAUUACACUUACUUGCUUUCUAGUACAAGUCGCUACCGGUUUUGCUAUGACUUUUUACUAUCGCCCAACUGUUACAGAGGCUUUUUCCUCGGUUCAAUACAUAAUGACCGAGGCCAACUUUGGUUGGUUAAUCCGAUCAGUUCAUCGAUGGUCAGCAAGUAUGAUGGUUCUAAUGAUGAUCCUACAUGUAUUUCGUGUGUAUCUCACAGGUGGAUUUAAAAAACCCCGCGAAUUAACUUGGGUCACAGGUGUGGUUUUGGCUGUUUUGACUGCAUCGUUUGGUGUAACGGGUUAUUCUUUGCCUUGGGAUCAAAUUGGUUAUUGGGCAGUCAAAAUUGUGACAGGUGUACCUGAUGCGAUUCCGGUAAUAGGAUCGCCUCUAGUGGAGUUAUUACGUGGAAGUGCUAGUGUGGGCCAAUCCACUUUGACUCGUUUUUAUAGUUUACAUACCUUUGUACUUCCUCUGCUUACUGCCGUAUUUAUGUUAAUGCACUUUCCAAUGAUACGUAAGCAAGGUAUUUCGGGUCCUUUAUAGGGAAGGCAUAUCAUAGAGAAUUAGAAUUCUCAUAUAUAAUAUUGGGUAGGUUGUGGUAUUUCAUUGCUACAAACAUGGGUUAUUGUAAAAUAACACAUGUCAUUUGGAUACUUCUCUUCAACUCCGAAGUAUUUUGAUAUAAUACAAAUAGUUGAAGUUAAUUUUACAAAAGAAAAAAAGGCGGAUUAUGGGAGUGUGUGACUUGAAUUAUAGAUUUGGCCAUGCAGAUAAAGAAUUGGAUCUGCCACAUUAGAAUUCACAACCAAAGGUGUCUCCGCAUCCAAUCAACACGUAAGUCCCCUACCUAGGAAGGAUAGGCUGGUUCACUUGAGGAGAAUAUUUUCUAUGAUCAUACCCCAACCAUGUCAUCCAUGAAAAGGCUCCGUAAGAUCCCAUAGAGUAGAAAUGGAAUAAGUCAUGUGACAUGAUCCAAUUCUCUAUUUAUUACACUUACCUUUUUUUAUUAUGGUAUGGAAAUGCAUUCAUUUUCUUUGCAUCGAUUGUGAUUCGCAAUACUAUCGGAGUAAAAGAAGGGAUCUAAGGAAGAGCAUAGGCUAAACUUUUUGAUUUUUUUAUUAGUAACAAGUAAAUACUUUGUUUGGGCGUAAGAAACUUGCGAUAGUGAGGGGAUAAAGACCAACUAAUCAAGAGACAUGAGACAAUCCACAAAGCAAUUGAUCAUGAUCAAAUUUGUAAGCCCACUUGGAUAUUGAGCAUUUACCCAUAAGAAUAGGAUUAUUUUCAAUGAGUAGUUGUAGGUGCAACUUCGGAAAAGAUAAUCUGAUAAAGCUUUUCUUGCCUAGAGUCAUUGAGUAAUUAUAUACCUUAUUCUAUUAUUAUUAUGGAUCUUCCGCGGUCUUAUUUCUUUCUUUAUUGCUCGAGCCGGAUGAUGAUAAAUUCUCAUGUCCGGUUCCUUUGGGGGAUGGAUCCUAAAGAGUUCACCUAUCCCAAUAACAAAGAAACCAGACUUAAAUGAUCCUGUAUUAAGAGCAAAAUUAGCUAAAGGGAUGGGACAUAAUUAUUACGGCGAACCCGCGUGGCCCAACGAUCUUUUAUAUAUUUUUCCAGUAGUAAUUCUAGGUACUAUUGCAUGUAAUGUAGGUUUAGCUGUUCUCGAGCCAUCAAUGAUUGGUGAACCCGCGGAUCCGUUUGCAACUCCUUUGGAAAUAUUACCCGAGUGGUACUUCUUUCCCGUGUUUCAAAUACUCCGUACGGUACCCAAUAAGUUAUUGGGCGUUCUCUUAAUGGUUUCUGUGCCAACAGGCUUAUUGACAGUACCUUUUCUAGAGAAUGUCAACAAAUUCCAAAAUCCAUUUCGUCGCCCGGUAGCUACGACCGUUUUUUUAAUCGGUACUGCAGUAGCUCUUUGGUUAGGUAUUGGAGCAACAUUACCCAUUGAUAAAUCCUUAACUUUAGGCCUUUUUUAGGUAUUUUUCAGGUUGAUUCAUUCAACCGUGAAGUACCGUGCAUAGGUAUCUAGGAAAUAGUUACUUCGAAGUGAAUUUUCCCUAGAUACCUAAAAUCCAUUUUAUUAUGAUCCAUUUCGCGAAAAUAUAGAUUCUCCUGAAGAUGCAAACUUGUUUUUUUCUUUUUAUCCUAACUCGAAAAAGAAGAAGAGCCAAAAAUUGCAAUGGAUUUAAAACGAGAGCUUAUUCUUAAGUAAAUCAACUGGGAGAUGCUUCUCUAGAGUGUCCCAUAUCUGUUUUCCAUCUUCCAUACGAAAACUGUCAAUUCUCAUAAGAUCUUCUUCAGUCUUACUCAAAAGGUCCAAUAGUGUAUGUAUAUUGGCCCUUUUGAGAUAAUUAUACGUUCUAGAAGGCAAUUCUAAUUGAUCAAUAAAAAUAAAAUUCAAUGGAAUUCCUUUUUUGUUUUUCUUUCGAUUAGUCAAUCUUUUUUGAAAAGUAAAAAGGGGUGGAGUAAACCUGUUUUUAUUUUCUUCGAAACCAGUUCCCUCUUCCUCUGCGUGUAGAAAAGGAAGAAAUAAAUCAAUCAAAUUACGAGAAGCCUCAUAAAGCGCUUCCUUAGGGGUUAAACUUCCAUUAGUCCAUAUUUCGAGAAAAAGUAUCUCGUGUUUUUCAUUUCCAUUCCCACAAGAAAAAAUACUAUAAUUCACAUUUCGAACAGGCAUGGAUACAGCAUCUAUAGGAUAACUUCCAUCUUGAUAGUUCUUUCUAAGUUCCGUCUGAUAUCCACGAUCUCUCUUGAUCUGUAACUGAAUACAGAAAUCAAUGGGCUCGGUCAAGUUAGCUAUAGGCUGUGCCGUAUCAACGACUUCUACGGAAGGUGGUAAGAUGAUAUCUUGAGCAGUUAUGCAUCUGGGACCUUUGACGCAAAUGGAUGCGUCUCUAACUCCAUAGAGAUUACUUCUCAAUACAAUUUCUUUCAAAUUUACUAAAAUUUCUUGUACGGAUUCUUCAAUACCCGCUAUUGUAGAAUAUUCGUGUGGCACGCUUCCAAAUUUUGCACGUGUGAUACAUGUUCCUUCUAUUUCUCCAAGUAAAGCUCUUCGCAAGGCAAUACCGACGGUAUCUGCUUGACCUUUUAUAAGCGGGGACAGAAUGAAACGACCAUAAUAAAGACGCUUACUAUCUACUCUUGAUUCAACACACUUCCACUGUAAUGUUUGAGUGGAUCCUGCUACCUCCUCUCGAACCAUAAUAGACUAGUAUUAUUAUUUGAUCAUUGAAUCGUUUAUUUCUCUUGAAAGCGGGUUAAUUCUUUUACAGACGCCUUUUUUUAGGCGGUCGACAUCCAUUAUGCGGCAUAGGUGUUACAUCGCGUAUACAACUUAAGCGCACACCACUUUUAGCAAUGGCUCGUAAUGCGGCAUCUCUUCCACUACCAGCGCCCUUUACCAUAACUUCUGCUCGUUGUAAACCUACUGUACGAAUAGCAUCGACUGCUGUUCUUUGACCAGCAUAGGGUGAUGCUUUUCUUGAGCUUUUGAAUCCACAAGUACCCGCAGAGGACCAGAAAACCACUCGACCUUGUGGGUCUGUAACAGUUAUAAUGGUAUUGUUGAAACUAGCUUGAACAUGAAUAACCCCUUUUGUUAUUCUACGUGCACUCUUCCGUAAACUAAAACGUGCAUUCCUACGUAAACCAAUACGCACUCUCUUACGUGAACCUAUUUUUGGUACAGCUUUUGCCAUAUUUUAUUAUCUCAUAAAUCUCAUAAAUAUGAGUAAAAAAAAUAAAAAAAAGAUACAAAGAUAUCCGUUUCAGGGUAAAAUAUACCCUUUACUUUAAUUAUUUCAAAUUAUUUUAUUAUUAAUUUAAACAUUCCCGCAGGUAUUCUUUUUUUUUACUUUUUAGAAAGUAAAGUGCUUUUUCGAAAGAUUAUCCCUGUCUUUGUUUAUGUUUCGGGUUGGAGCAAAUGACUCUAAUUCGGCCACGCCUACGAAUCAGUCGACAUUUUGUACAAAUUUUACGAACGGAAGCUCUUAUUUUCAUAUUUCCGUAUCCUUUCUUAAACCAUGAAUCUAAUCUUUUGGAAAAAAUAAGUCUCUUCGCUGUAAUUUUUGAACUUUGCAUUUAUUAUUCUAGAAAAAAGAAAAACCUAAUCCUUCAAAUCUUCGCUAUCCUUCAAAUCUUCGCUAUCCUUCGAGUCUUCGAUACGCUUCGAAUCCUUAUGGGGAAGUCUAUAAAUGAUACGUCCCUUGCUUGAAUCAUAACGACUUACUUCAAUUUUGACCCUAUCCCCCAUCAGUAUUCGUAUAGAACUAGACCGAAUCUUUCCUGAAAUAUAGCCCAGGAUGAUGGUGUCAUUCUCUAGACGAACGCGGAACAUUCCGUUGGGUAGGGCUUCCGUAACUAAACCUUCGAAAGUUACUUUUGCUUCUCUCGGGUUUUUCUUUUCUCGCCUAUUUUUUUUUUCUGUCAUUUUUUUUUUCUGCUAUUUUUUUCUUUUUAUUUGAAUAAUAGGAAGUUCGAGAGAGAAUUCGGGCACUAUAGGCAAGGCGAUUACCAUAUAUAACAUAAGACUUCUCCCCCAAUUCUGUUUAGUCGAGCCUCUCGAUCUGUCAUUAUCCCUCGAGAAGUAGAAAGAAUAGCAAUUCCCAUUCCACCCAAAACUUUAGGAAUUCCUUGAUAGUUGGUAUAAAUUCGUAAGCCGGGUCGGCUGAUACGCUUUAAAAAAGUUCUUGUUCUAUAUAUUCCUUUUCUAGUCUUUCUCUUUUGAUGUCGCAAAGUUAAAACCAAGAAAUAUCUGUUACGUUCCUGAUGUUUCCGAACACUUUCAAUAAAACCCUCUCGUAGAAGUAUUUUUACAAUGUUUUCAGUAAUAUUUGUAGAUACUACUCGAACUGUUGCUUUUUUAUUCAUGUCCGCGUUUCUUAUAGAGGUUAGUAAAUCAGCAAUAGUGUCUUUGCCCAUAAGAUUCUAAUUCUAGGUUCCUCCCAAUUUUUCUAUAAUCAACAUGUUUUCUUUUUUUUCUUUUCAUUUUAGAUUUUAAAACAUAUACGUGAAACACAAUCUACUAAUUCACUCUUUGAUCUAAAUUUCGCCUACUAGUAUUUAUAAUACUUCAGGAGCUAAUGAAACUAUUUUGGUAAAAUUCAAUUCUCUCAAUUCCUCGGUGAUCGCCCCAAAAACUCGAGUUCCUUUUGGAUUUCCUUUUUGAUCAAUUAUAACCGCUGCAUUGUCAUCAUAGCGGAUUAUUAUACCGUCUUCACAUUUGAACUCUUUACAUGUACGUACAAUUACAGCUCGAAUUACUUCGGAUCUUUCUAGAGGCAUUUGGGGCACUGCGUCUUUGAUUACAGCAACAAUAACAUCACCAAUACGAGCAUAUCGCUGAUUACCAGCAGUUCCUAUGACUCGAAUACACAUCAAUUUUCGAGCUCCACUAUUAUCUGCUACAUUUAAAAGGGUCUGAGGUUGAAUCAUAUUAUUUGGAUUUCAAUUUUUUAUUUCGAUGCAAAAGGAUGAAAGAAAUAUUGUCUUUCCAGAAAGAAAAACCCGUUUUUGGGGUUCUAUAUCUCUAAUCGAAUAAAUUGACUUCGUAUGGGCAUUUUACUGGCAGCUAUGGAGAUAGCUGCUCUAGCUACAGUUUCGGAUACUCCACCCAUUUCAUAAAGUAUACGACCUGGUUUAACAACAGCUACCCAAUAUUCGGGGGACCCCUUUCCCGAGCCCAUACGUGUUUCCGUGGGUCUUAGUGUAACUGGUUUGUCGGGAAAUAUACGUACCCAUAUUUUUCCACCACGACGUGCAUAUCGUGUUAUUGCUCUUCGUCCCGCUUCUAUCUGUCUCGCCGUGAUCCAAGUGGGUUCAAGUGCUUGAAGAGCAUAUCUACCAAAACAAAUACGAUUGCCUCGGCAGGAUUUUCCUUUCAUUCUUCCUCUAUGUUGUUUGCGAAAUUUGGUUCUUUUGGGGUUAUAGUCGAUGGUUCUUUCGUAGUUCCAUCUCUACUGCAAAACUGGACAUGAGAGUUUCUUCUCAUCCAGCUCCUCGCGAAUUAAAUGAGAAAGCGUGCAAAUUGCUCUAAUUCCAUAAUAUUCAAAAAUAUUAUGGAUAGAUACACAUUAAUAGGUAAUAGAAAAAGUUAGUUUUUUUUAUUUUUCAUAGUUAAUUUUGUUCAAAUAGAAAAAUAUAUAGUCAAGAAAGAAGAUCUAGAAUAUAUCUAGAUGUGUGUGUCUAUUUAUCUAUAUUCUAUUUUUAACGUAAUCCUUCUUAAAAAAAAUAUCUUUCUUUUUACUUUUAUUGAAUUUAUUGAAUUAUUGAAUUGCGGUAAAGUAUUCUAAUUCAAUAAGGAUUUCGCGGGCGAAUAUUUACUCUAUUCCUGUCUUAUUUGGUAAUUUAUAACCUUACCAAAUAAGACAAUUUUUGGGGUUUGUUCCGCCAUCCCGUCCAAUGAGGUUUUUGGAUCUUUGCAUAAAUCCUAUGGAGUCAUAGGUUCUGUCGUUCCCACUGCUUCUCCUUGAAUGGUUAGGUCUGAAUCCCGCAACGGAGCUUCAAAAAAAUGUCUUUCCGAGUUAAUUUUCUCAGUUUUAUUAACCCGGGUGGCUCUUUAAUUAUUGCUUUAAAUUUGUAGUUCUUGUUUCAAGUUACGAUUUCUAAUUCUCUGUUAUUUUUAUUAUAUUAUAUUGAUGCUUUAUCACAUUGCCUUUUUUGAUGCAAUUCAUAGACCAUACAUAUUGGAAUCCUAUAUCUUACUUAUUCUUCUUUCUAUCAUCUUUCCCUUUAUCUACAUCCCUUUAGUUUUGCUUCAGAACCUAGAAUCUCGUUUCUUUUUUAGAGAAAAAAUUGCAGUUGCUACAACUAUAUGAUAGAUCUACUCAUUUAUGAUAGAGAUAUUUAUUCAGAUAGUGACUGCUUCUUAGUUAGGAUCUCGACAAUACGAAGCAAUAGGUUGGUUAUUAGUUAAUUUUCUAUAAUUACUAAAUUUUUUUCUUUUUUUAAAGAAAAAAAUAACGAGUCACACACUAAGCAUAGCAAUUAUAUUAAAUGAUUUAUCAAUUUUCAUUAAAUCUUAUAGAAAGAGGUAUAAUUUCUUCUUUUUUUUAGGGAUUUCGGGAAAAAAGGCUCUUGUCAUUUUUUAUUCUAUCACUGCACAGAAUGCGAAGACAAGAUUAGUUAUUCUUCAUCUACGAAUAUCCAAAUUUUUACACCUAAUACUCCAUAGAUAGUUCGAAUUGGAUAGCAACAAUAAUCAAUUUUAGCGCGAAUUGUUUGGAGAGGAAGUCUACCCUUUUUGAUGCAUUCCGCACGUGCAAUUUCUUUUCCUCCGAGACGACCCGCUAUUUUUACUUUGACUCCCCUUAUAUCUGCUUUUUUAGUUAAUUCAAUGGCUUUUUUUAUUGCCUUUCGGAAUGAAACUCGAUUUUUUAAUUGAAAAGCUAUAUAUUCUGCAAGAAUGUUAGGUUGUCUAUAAGGCUCUUUAACUUUUUCGAUAGAAAUAUUAAGUCUCUGGUUUACAGAGUUAAUUUCUUUUUGUAGAUCUUUCUCUAAUUCUUCGAUUACUCCCUUUUUCUUUAAUAAAUUUGGAAAUCCUAUAUGGAUUAUGACGUGGAUCGUAUCAAUUUCUUUUUGAAUUUCUAUAUGUGUAAUUACUUCGGAACUUGAACCUGAGUCCAUUUUUCUAUUAUGUGUAAUUACUUCGGAACUUGAGUCUGAUUCUAUUUUUCUAUUCGAGCCCUUUUUCCUAUUUUUUUGUAUAUAGUUCUUGAUACAAUUCCUUAUUUUUUUAUCUUCCUGUAGACCCUCAGAAUAAUUUUUUGGUUGUGCGAACCAAAAGGAAUGGUGUUUUUGGGUUGUACCAAGUCUGAAACCAAGUGGAUUUAUUUUUUGUCCCAUAUUUUUCCUAUUCUAUUUUUUUUUACGGGGAAUCGAAUCUUAGCUGGAUCUAAGGGUUAUUUAGAUCUCUUUACUAUAUUUAGUGCAAUUGUUAUAUGACACAUGCUUUUUUUUAUGGGGAAACUGCGCCCUCGAGCCCGAGGUCUGAAUUUUUUCAUAAUAGUACUUCUACUGACUUCGGCUUUAGUUAUGAAUAAAUUCGCUUUGUCGAAAUCCCUAUAAUGAGCAGCAUUUGCUGCUGCCGAAUAAACCAACUUUAAGAUGGGAUAAGAUGCUCGAUAAGGCAUGAGGUUCAGUAUCAUAACUGUUUCCUCAUAGUAACGCCAGCGAAUCUCAUCAAGAACCCUUUGUGCUUUGAAGACAGACAUAUGGAUACGUUUUUGUGCUUUGAAAACUCGCUCGAACUUAAGUAGACGAUCGGUUGGAACUUUCCUUGCAAGUUUCCUUAGCCCACUUUUCUUCUUCUUUAUCCUAGGGAUAUACUUUACUAAUUUGAAACUUGUCAUAAAUAAGGUUAUUCCCCGCCUACCUUUACUUUGCAUCUUUUUUUUAUUCUGAAUCUUUCUAUUCUGAAUUCAGUUAACGACGAGAUUUAGUAUCCUUUCUUGCAUUUUCAUAACUCGUGAAAUGCCGAGUAGGUACGAAUUCCCCCAAUUUGCGACCUACCAUAGGAUUUGUUAUGUAAAUAGGUAUAUGUUCCUUUCCAUUAUGAAUCGCGAUUGUAUGGCCAACCAUUGUGGGUAGAAUGCUAGAUGCCCGGGACCACGUUACUAUUGUUUCUUUCUCCUCCUUCAUAUUGACCUUUUCUAUUUUUGCCAAUAAAUGAUGAGCUACAAAAGGAUUCGUUUUUUUUCGUGUCACAGCUGAUUACUCCUUUUUUUUCCUUUUUAAAGAGCGGCAAUCUAUGUCCAAUAUCUCGAUCGAAGUAUGGAGGUCAGAAUAAAUAGAAUAAUGAUGAAUGGAAAAAAGAGAAAAAUCCUGUAGCUGGAUAAGGGGCGGAUGUAGCCAAGUGGAUCAAGGCAGUGGAUUGUGAAUCCACCAUGCGCGGGUUCAAUUCCCGUCGUUCGCCCAUCGCAUUAUUGCAAAUGCAAAAAAUGCAAUUUUCCAUAUUCCUAGUUACGUAUUUACUUACGGCGACGAAGAAUAAAACUAUCGCUAUAUUUUUUCCUUUUCCUAGUUCUUCUUCCAAGCGCAGGAUAACCCCAAGGGGUUGUGGGUUUUUUUCUACCAAUGGGGGCUUUCCCUUCACCGCCCCCAUGGGGGUGGUCCACAGGGUUCAUAACUACCCCUCUUACUAUGGGGCGUUUACCUAGCCAACACUUAGAUCCGGCUCUACCCAAACUUUUUUGGUUCACCCCAACAUUACCCACUUGUCCGACUGUUGCUAAGCAGUUUUGGGAUACUAAACGGACCUCCCCAGAUGGUAAUCUUAAAGUGGCUGAUUUACCCUCUUUUGCAAUAAGUUUCGCUACAGCACCUGCUGCUCUAGCUAAUUGGCCACCCCUUCCACGUGUGAUUUCUAUGUUAUGCAUGGCCGUGCCUAAGGGCAUAUCGGUUGAAGUAGAUUCUUCUUUUCUCUCAAAAAACCCCUUCCCAAACUGUACAAGCUUCUUCCAAAGCAUACGGCUUUCUAGAUGUAUAUGACGAUCUCUAGACAGAUGGAUCUUAUAUAAAUCAUAUGAUGAAGUACCACAUGAGUGGAUAUAUAGGAAAGGAAUCCAAAUCUGCCGAAUCGCUCAUGUUAGGAUCUUCUACAUCCUAGGUCUCCGCGUUCCGUCAUCUGGCUUAUGUUCUUCAUGUAGCAUUCAGAUCGAAUGACUCUAUGAAAUUACGUUGAUACUUCCACAUAUUAUGGGUAACGUAGGAGACAUCCCUUUUUUCCCCGGGGGUCUUAAUUACCACUGCUUAGCUUUCAAUUCGCCUCUGACCAUCAAAUUAAAUGUGAAUAACCCGUCCUACUCUCUUUGAAACAAGGGGCGCUUCCGGUUCUGUGCGUGCUUCAAACAAUUUUGUCUUCUCCAUAUUACCAUAUCUCUAGAGUCAAUAAUUUUCUAUGAGGAACUACUGAACUCAAUCACUUGCUGCCGUUACUCAACAGUUUUCUGUUAAGGUCUAUCCCGUAGAGGUAGUCAAAUUGGAUCAGUGAUCGAUUUCUAGGUUUCGUCGUAAACCUAAUUGGUUACUUCCAAUUACGUAAAUCAAUAGUUCAAACCGCACUCAAAGGUAGGGCAUUUCCCAUUGAUAUAGGAACUUUUGUACCAGAAACAAUAGUAUCUCCAAUUAUAGCCCCUCUGGGAUGUAAAAUAUAUCUCUUCUCACCAUCCCCAUAGUGUAUGAGACAAAUGUAUGCAUUUCGAUUAGGGUCGUAUUCUAUGGUUACGAUUCUACCAGAUAUGUCUUUUUGAUUCCGUCGAAAAUCGAUUUUACGGUAUAGGCGUUUAUGACCUCCCCCUCUAUGCCUUGCGGUAAUGAUUCCUCUGGAAUUACGACCUUUACCACAACGGUGCCGUCCAUGGAUCAAAUUAUUUCGUGGAUUGGAUUUCACUUGCCUGUCUACGGUUCCCUUGCGUGUACUCGAGAUAGGUGUUUUGUAUAAAUGUUUCGCCGUAUUAUUAAGUAUUCUCCUUUAGUUUUUUUCUCUAUCUAGAAGUGGAAUAGAAUAACCCGGUUGAAGGGUAAUGAUCAUACGUCUGUAAUGCAUUGUAUGUCCCAGAAUAGGUCCUAUUCUUCUACCCUUUCCGGGUAGUCGAUGGCUAUUCACAGCUACUACCUUAACACCAAAGAAGAGUUCGACCCAAUGCUUUAUUUCUGUCUUAGUGAAUCCUGAUUCGACAUUAAAAGUAUAUUGAUUCUUUCCCAAUAAACGAAGACUUUUUUCUGUAAAUACUGCGUAUUUGAUUCCAUCCAUAAAUCGACUUUCCCUCCUAUGCUCUGAGUUCCAGUAUCGAUAAGAAUUCGAGUUCUUAUUGUUCUUAUGUUAUGGUAUGAAUAUACCAUACCAAUUCGUUAUGUAUGGAUGAUGGAUGAGAUUCCAUGGAUAGAGAGCCAGUUCCAAUAGACUUAUGGAACGUUCCCGUUCGCGUGCAUCCAGCAGGAAUUGAACCCGCAAAUUUACCAAUUAUGAGUUGGGCGCUUUAACCAUUCAGCCAUGGAUGCUUAACAGGGAUCAUCCUACAUCGUAAAUAACCAAUUUUCAUAUAGAAAGACAUAUCAUAGAAAAAUGAAAUCGAAAAUAUUCGGAGAUGGCAAAUAUUCGGAGAUGACUAUGAAAACACCUCUCUGGAUCCUCGAAUUGAAAGAGAGAUUGAGAGGGAUCAAGAAUCCUAAUUCUCUCUAUUUGGAAUGGAUCCAAUUCUAUUGAGUCUGACUCAUAGUGAUCAUUUCUCUUUAGCAAAGAAUGACCUUGGUUAUCAAAGGAUUGAACAACCGGGAUCCAUUUACUUAUGAUACCUAGUUGGCAUUGAUAACAAGGAUCUAAUGAAUUAUGAGUUUAAUAGAUCCUCUUUAGCAGAAAGACGUAUAUUCCUUGCUCAUUAUCAGACAAUCACUUAUUCCCAAACCUCGUGUGGGGCUAAUCGUUUUCAUUUACCAUCUCAUGGAAAACCCUUUUCGUUCCGCUUAGCCCUAUCGGGUAUUUUAGUGAUAGGUUCUAUAAGAACUGGACGAUCCUAUUUGGUCAAAUACCUAACGAAAAAUUACGAUUUUCCUUUCAUUAAGGUACGAGGGCUUCUUAUUCCACAAGAACGAAAGCACCUUUUCAUUCUUUCAUAUACUAGGGGUUUUUACUUAGAAAAGACAAUGUUCCAUACUAAAAGAUUCGGGUGCAUAACCACGAGUUCCAGUGCACUAGAUCUUGUAGCACUUAGCAACGAGGCCCUAUCCAUUAGUAUUCCACAUAAGAAAUCCAUUAUAGAAAAAAAUACAAUUAGAUUAACUCUUCAUAGACAAACUUGUGGUUUGCGAGCCAAGGUAAGAUCGGCUCGGGAUCAUGGGACCUUUUUCUAUCAGAUAGGAGGGGCUCUUGUACAAAAUAGACUUAUAAGUAAUAACCCCAUAGAAUCAAUCUAUCUAUAUAAAGAGGCGAUCGUGUCAGGAAGCGGGUUUUUCUUUGGCCAAAAGGUACUUCGAACUUGGAACGAGCAUGAAGAGAUUAACGAGACUUCUUUCUCUUUUGCGUUUUUAUGGCGGACCUGCCGCGCAAGAUCUUUGGUCUUCCCCUGGAACCGAUGAAAAAAAGUGGAUCGCUUCUUAUGGACUCGCUCAGAAUGAUUCUUCUCUAUCUAUAGUUCAUGGCCUAUUAGAAGUAGAAGGUGCUCUGGUGCAAUCCUUACCGACAGAAAAAGAUUGCAGUCAGGUUGAUAAUAAUCGAGUGCCAUUACUUCGUCGGUCCGAACCAAGGAAUCCGUUAGAAAUGUUUUGAAAUGGAUAUUGUUCUCUCUUUGAUCAGGGAUUGCUAUAUGAAAAGAAGUGGAGUUUGAAAAAGGGAACGGAAUGGUCAAACCGGAACUGCUAGAGGAACGAAUUUUCAAUAGCAUAACUUGGGCUCCUAGAAUAUGGCGCCCUUGGGACAAUCCAUUUGAUUGCAGGGUUUUGUUCCGAAGCAAAGAUAUCCGCGGAGGCCAGUUCGUUCGUCCUAUUCUGAUAUUCAGGACCAAGAGGUACUGGAUUCUCUUUCGGAUAGGCCCUGAAAGGAGAAGAAAGGCUGAAAUGCCAACGGACCUCUGUCUAUUCUCUAAUUCACCCGAGCCGAUAGUACCCGUUUUUGGAACGUCCAGUGCCAAAGUCACUGAAUGGGUAAGUCACCAAUCCAACCCCUUUGACAAAUCGGGUGUCAUAUUAGAUAUCAUAUUCUAUAUAUAUAGAAAUAUCAUAGAAUAGACAUAUAGAAUUUUUGGUCUGGAAAUUAGAAAGAAUCAUUGAGUGAAAAAGGAGCAAAGAAUGACAAAAGACGAGACUCUACUAGUCUUCACUCUUGUGGUUUCCUCGGUUUCUGUUUUCUUAUUCGGGAUCUUGCUUUUCAUGAUUCUCAUCUCUGCAACUCGCGAUUUUAGCGAGAGAACCAAAUCCAAGUUGGUGAAGAUCAUGAUUUGGGCUGGCAUAGUAGUUAUUACCUUUGCAAUUGCGGUUCGAAUCUAUCCGAUCUUUAUCUUUUUGCUCAAAGAACGAAUAAAACCCCUUGUCGAAGCCCUUUAUGAUAAGCUUCCCUGGAUCUGGGAAGUUUCUCUUUCACGGUAUUGGGAUCGUUUGCUCGAUUUCCUUGAUUUGAUCGCUACUUAUGGGCGUGCGCUCAAAGGAUACAAACAGGGAUUCGCAAACAAAAAGGGGAAUUCGUAGUCACUUUUUCCUGUCGCGUAAAAAAAAGUCUUUACGCGAGAGCAAUAGAGGUUGGGAUACAUCUAUCUCUUCUGAGCAACCUCUUUUGGAUUCUUAAGACCACCCUUGCAGUAGGAUACCAU
rnacentral:lncRNA from 1 species